rnacentral:lncRNA from 1 species
CGGCGGACUUUGAUUUGGCGAGGCGAAGAAGCGACGGUGGGUCUAGGCGGCGGAGGUUGAGCAGGGCCGCAACCAUGAUGGCCAUGGAUCUGCUCGAGCCUGAUGUUUAUUUGAGAUUGGUUUGGAUGAUUGUGUUUUACCUUCUCUGCAGCUACCAUAAAUAGAUCUGAGAGCGCGCAUUUCUCUCUCCGUCCCUCUUUCUCUCCCUCUCCAUACGCGACGAGCAUAAAGAUAAUGGGUCUGGCCAGGCGAGGAGGGAGGUGAAGCAGGCGAAGUCACGACCUUCAUCCGCCUCGCCACUUGCCGGCGAGGACCAUGGCACUCUCCGUAGAUCUAGCGCUGCGGCCUUGCUGAAUUCUCUCUGUCUCUCUCUUCAUAAGAGGGGGCGGCGGCGGCGGCGGCGGCAACGAUGGGCCGAGACAAUGGCGAGGGUCGUUGGACCGUCAUCGGUGGAUGGACGGCCCUGCCACCGGCCGAGGUACCUCCUCCUUCCCUGAUCAGGCUUACCCACCGACUCUCCCUCUUUUUCGGGAUUUUUUAUUAUUAUAAUUUGUUUAGGACAAAAACCUGAAAACCCGAACUAUUUAUGUUUAGCGUAAACUUUCCCGUAACAUAAAAAAUUUUAAACUAUACUUAUGAUAUCAAAAAUUGCAAAACUCUUACUUUGCGACAUAUAUACACUUCAUCAAAGUUUAAUUAAAUGAUUUUUCAGUCAAAAUAAAGUUUGUUUUGCUUAAGCCACGUCCAUGAAAAUAGAUUUUUGGUGGCUCUCCUUGACCGAAUAUUAAUAUAAGGUAAUUAUUUAAAAAUUUUGGAAUUUUAAGUUUGUGGAUGUUUUUUUUUUAAAUUUUUUAUUGCGCACCAAUGACGUAUUAGAAGGGAAACGGUCCUUUCGUAUGUUUAAGGGAAGGGAAUGGAGUAGUUGAGUGUGCAGUACUGUGCAAUUGGAUAAAAUAAAAUUUCAGAGGCAUAUGAUUGAAUUAAGGGAAAAAAUCACAAAAAAUCUCAAAUUUUAACUAUAGUAAUAAAUUUACUCCAAUUUUUUUUUGACAUGAAAAAACCUUAAUUUUGCAAACCGUAACAUAUUUACCCUACUAAGGACAUCUUCGUCUUAUUUUUCUUUCUAUUUUUUCUUUAUCUUUUUUCUUCCCUUCGCUGAUCAUGGCGGAGGGAAGCCAGAGUUCAACGAGAGGUGCCCUCACCAGGCCCUCGCUCGAUGCAGUCGAGGACUCAGGUGAGGGCCACCCUCGUCGACGUCGGGCAGCCCUAGCCAGUGUAGGCGAGAGCGACCCUCGCCCGACGCCAAUGAGGGCAUCCUCACCUAACUUCGGCUUCUUUGCGCCUCACCUAACUUCGGCUUCUUUGCGCCAUGUUUGGCGGAGGAAAGAAAGAAGAAAAAAGAAAAAAAGUUUAAUAAAAAAAAAGUUCGGGAUAAUUGUGUCACGAUUGGCAAAAUUUCACAAAAAAAGUUUAAGAUAAAUUUGUCAUUUUAAAUAAAAUUUGGGAUUUUUUGUGGUUUUUUUCCUUGAAUAAAUUAAAGAAGCUCAACAACUACGAAGUACGAACUGCUUAAUUCUUUCAUUUAUUAAUUUUCGCAUGACCAUUACCCAAGACGGUUGACAAAUUGCCGUCCUAAAGCAGUUAUCCCCGCCCUUGAUUUUGACAUAAAUUUUCAUUUACCUUGACUCAUUCUCGAAAGGUAGAUUUCCAUGAAGGUACCGGGAACAAAAAGAGGAAGACGACGGACACUUUCGAUGAUCUUCCCACACUGCCUCUUCUCUGGUCGUUUUCCAAUCUCAAAGUCUUGUUAUUUCCAUUUUCCUAGGAUUCAUCAGUCAAUUAAAUGACUCUAAUAUUAUAAAACUUGAAUCUUUGGUCAAUCAUAAUCUACUAGUGAAACGCGGAAGGUCCUUAGUAUUACAAAAUUAAUAGACGUAAGAAGUAAGCGAAAGAUUCAUUCAAUGUGAUUCUCGAACUUUUAAUUUGUUUAAUGUAAUUCUUGGACUUCUGGUACAUACUAAACUAUAUAAAAAUAUUCAAUAUAGUCUCCCCACAUAUAAACUAAUGAAAAUAUGAUAUUGAAUAUUUUCAUGUAAUUCGGGAAUUAAGUUGAAUAUGUAUCAAAAAUUUAAGUACCAUAUUGAAUAAAUUAAAAGUUUAGUGAUCAUAUUACAUAUUAAACUGAUUUUGAUGGAUUAUAUUAAAUAAAUUAAAAUUUUAUGAAUCACAUCAUAUAUUGAAUCAAAAUUCAAGGGCUCUUUGUGCAAAGAUGAAGGAGAAAUAAAUAACAUGGCAAUUAUCAAGAGUCUGUCAUAAUGUCAGACGCGUUCUUGCCUCCAUCUCUGCAACCGCGAGGGGGUUCUCUCCCACUGGCCGCGGGGAAUUUCCGCGUUUUCCUUGGAUCCGUGUCCGUCGAGCACCGGAACUAACGGGCGAACAUUCGCAGCAAAUCUUUCGAAGACCCAGAUCACACGCCAUUCCUUCUCCCCAGAUUGUGCAACUCCGCAGACCUAGAAGAAGCCUUUAUAUACUUUACCGUUUCUGCCUCUUAUUUUUCACUUGCUUUAGCCGUUGGAGCGAUACUAAUUUAUUGGAAAGGUAAAUAUAUUGGAAAGACAGCUGUGAUAUGCUUUUAUUUAGGCUAUUUACUUAGGAAGUUUUGUGUACAUAUCUUUUUUUAUUGUGUUGUCCUUGUAUUUUUGGUAAUUUAGCCUUAUUAGGAAAUUGUUUGAUAGCUGUAACUUCUUGUGUAUAUAUUGCGUUUAUGAGUCAAUGAAUGACUACGGAGUUCUCAUUCUAAAAUUCCUAGUUCUUUUACAUAAUUCACUGAAGAGCAACUUAAUCUCCAUCCGUUUGAUGUUCUUGCCGAGGCUGAAAAGCGUCAAGCUUUUCGACCCGCUCCUCCUCGCGCGCCAGGGCUCCGUGCCGAGACCGGUCGUCCGAGGCCUCUUUUUUAGUGCUUUGACUCCUCGCAAAUCGAGGGCUUUAGAGGGUACGCGUGGAUCGAUGCAUUUCGUUUUCUCUCUCCACUUCUCAUUGUUUAAUCCAUUGUCUGUGGCGACGGCAAAGCCUGCCCAGUUACCCACCUUCUGUAUUUCUUUAUUUGUUUGAUUCAUGGACAUUCGCAAUUUACUUGGUUUUCGUGUUUGGUCCUUUUUUUGUCGGAAAGUUUUUAUUUUUCUUCGUGGAUGUGGCUGUCUUGAUGCUCUUGAGCUUUGCGUAUCCAUUGGAUGAGUGACCGGUGAGGUUCUUGGCUGUUCCUGGACAAAUAUAUAGUGAGAAGAAGGAACAUCAUCGCCCAAGAGUGUUUGCGAGAGAGUUAGACUUAGUAAACAAAGACUAUUGAAGUCUUCCUCCUCCUUUUUUUUAGUAGUUUUUGACAGAGAGGAAGUAAUGCUCGGAAAGGAUUCCAAAAAUAGUGUUUAGUUUGAAUAAUGAAAUACCGAUUACAAUAUCUUUCCUUUUUUUUAGUAGUUUUUGACAGAGAGGAAGUUAUGCUCGGAAAGAAUUCCAAAGAUAGUGUUUAGUUUGAAUAAUGAAAUACCGAUUAUAAUAUCUUAGGUGCCUAUUUAUAGGAAAAUCGCCAUCUAGAAAAUAACCAAAUAAUUGAAAUCGAAUAACAAAAUUAAGGAAAUCGAUAUUAAUAAAAGGAAAAGUUAUCAAAACACAAUUACAAAAUCUGCAAAAUGCGUAUGAAAUGUGUGAUAUUUCUUUGUAAUCAAUGUGUGAUAUCUCUUUGUAAUCUCGAAGAUCACGUAAUUAUCUUUGAUUUGUGGGAUUAUCUAUUCUUAUGAUGAUCCAAUUUUUCUAUAAAGACAUUUGCACGUUAUUCUACAUCAAUUUUUCUACGUCAAUUUUGUUCAGGGUUAUUUUUUAUUUGGGUUUAUUACUUUAUUUUUGAGCUAGACCAGCUGUUUCCGAUAGAAAUCAGUGGAUGAAUGGUCGCUUCAUUUGUCCAGAUUUAGCUCCUAGGGUGCCAUUUCCCAUCAGGUACAAGUCCAUCGGUGUAUCAUCAGCUUUGAGGCAAGACAUGACUGAACAUAACGAUAGUGGGAUUCUGCUCGAUGGGUGUGAGGAUUCAUAUGGAGGAGUGAGGGUGGAGAUCAAGGAGGAUAUGGAUGCUGAUGUCAUGAAAGCUGAUGUCUUUGCGUCUUUGCUCCGGGCUUCAAUAUCAAGCUGGAAACAACAGGUACCGCACUUGUAUUUCGCCGGCACCACCUAAACAUUCCAAGGGGGAAAAAAAGGAAGAAAAGAAAAGAAAAAUAAAAAAAUUCAAAAAAUAUUAAAAAGUAUUAAAAAUUGCCAUGUCAGCAUCCGGUCACAAGCUGAUGUCCACGUUAGAGCCGACAUGCCAAAAUUGGCCGAAUGGACUAAAUUAGUACUGACCUAAAAAUGUUUAUGAUUGAAUUGGUCCAAUUGAAAAGUAUAAGCCUGAAUCAGUAUCAAUAAAAUAGAUUUAGGACUUUUUUGGUACUUUUCCCCACUUGUAUUUCAUCAAUCUUGUCAGUUCGUUUUUUUUUUUUUUUUUCGUUUGUAACAAUAUCAAUCUGGUCUUCUGUAUUUCUUCUUAUUGGGUAUAUUUUGGUUGCAGGGGAAGAAGGGAGUGUGGAUCAAAUUGCCCAUUAAAUGUUCACAUCUUGUUGACAUUAUAGUGAAGGUACAUAUAUGUGUUUUUUCGUGGCCAAUAUUUAGUAUUGGCCCCUCUUGUUAAAUCGCUUUCUAGUAGGAAGUUUGAUAGGUUUAGGUAUGAAAUACACGGUUCAUUGAAAUAUUGCCUGGUAAUUUGGCAGGAAGGGUUUAGGUAUCAUCAUGCUGAAACAACUUACUUGAUGCUUGUUUGCUGGCUUCCUGAGACGUCUGAUACCCCGGAUACUAUUCCUAAUAAUGCUUCACAUAGGGUGGGCGUUGGUGCUUUCGUCUUGAAUGAUAAAAGAGAGGUAACUUUCUGCGUUGCCAUUGUCUCGUUUCUUGCACUUGCCUUUUAAGACUCUAAUAGGAAGAUGCAAAGAGAUGGAAAUUUAACGUUUGAUUUGGGCCUUGCAUGGAAACGUUUCUGUUCCUUUUCUGUUCCCGAGAACAGAAAUAAAAAAAAAAAGUGUUUCUGUUCCGGGGAACGGUUUUUGAACAAAAGAACGCGUUUGGUAAUGUUUGUUCCGGGAAUAAAAAAUGAAUAGAAACACGUUUGGUAAAUUUUAUUCUUUUUUUGUUUCUUUUAAAUUUUAAAUUUUUUAUUUUAUUUUCCAUUUUUUUCCUUUCUUUUUUAUUUCUUUCUUCUUUCGGCCGAUCGCCGGAGGCCGGCAGCCUCGCCCAGCCACGACGAGGCUCGCUAGCCCCCGGCAAGGCCGAGUCUCGCCGUGGUUGGGCGUGGCUCAGCCUCGCCGGAUCUGGGCGAGCCCGAGUUGGCCCAACCAAGGCGAGGCGAGGCGUCACCGGCACGGGCGAGGCCGAGCCUCGCCGCCCUGCCGUCGGAGCCGAGCACCUGCGCCCCGAAGCCCGCAGCUCAACGCCGUCCUGAUCUCACCACGCCAUUCGCGACGCCGUCCGCCAAUCUUUGCUCGCGUUGCCCCGUGUCGAUCCCAAAGCCUCUAGUGUCGCGCCGCCGUCACACCGUCCUCCGAAGCCCCUCGCCAGAACCCUAGCCGAAGAUCUCCCCUCGAGCGAGGCCGAGCCUCGCCUUGGCUGGGCGAGCUCGGCCUCGCCGGCGCGGGCGAGGCUCAGCCUCGCCGGGGGCCAGCGACGUUCCGGCGAGGUCGCCGACCCUCGACGGCGUCGCCGGCCAAAGAAAAAAGAAGAAAAAAAGAAGAAGAAAAGAGAAGAGAGAGAAGAAGAGAAGCGUUUCUUUUUGGCUUUGAAGAAGUGUUUCUUUUCUCUAGAAGCAACUUUUUUGUGUUUCUUUUUUUUGCUCCAAUUUUGUUCCGAGAACAGAAAAACAAAAAAAGAACAGAAACGCAACCGAACGCAUUUCUGUUCCUUUUUUGUUCCCGGGAACAAAAAAAGUACAAAAGUGUUCCAGAAACAUUUUUUUGGAACGUUUCCAUGCAGGGCCUUGCUCAUUCAGUUGUUCUUAGAAGUUCAGAGUUGGACUCCAGCACCAGACACUUCUCUCUGCAGUAGUAUCUAAGACUAUAUAUUUGCAGUGUGUAAAAUCAGCCUGCUUGAUAGGCAUUGAAUCCUUUAGAACGAUAGGUAGGAUCACUGUAACUUUGCCUGGGAUCACAGUAACUUCGCCUGGGAAGAAAACCUCUGCAUUCAAUGUUCAUCGGAUUUAUACGUGUGUAUGUUGUCAUUGUGGAUAAGCAGAGAUAUUGGAUUUGUUUUCUUUUUCCUUAAUAGAAUCAGUCUUUGGUGCCAAUGCAUUGCUAUAAUCUUUUGGUUUGACUAUGUUAUAUCUAUGACAAGCUAUUUAGUAAAGGACUUAAGGCAAUAUUAGCAUUUGGAUUGCAAUAAAUCUUCUCAUCUUAGCAACGAUCACAUAAUCUUCCAUCGGUUUUCCUCUUUUAAAGGAUUCAGCAUGUAAAUAACAGCCUUACUUUGUGAAGAGAUACAAUGCAGUGAAGUUUUAUACCUAACUUUUGUUUGGUGGACGCUUUUGCUCUGCUUUAUCUUGUUUUCAGCGUGAUUCCUAUGCCAUCAGAUGCUCAACACUUCAAAGAUUCUAAAAACUUUUCCCUCCUUUCUAGGUGCUUGUAGUCCAAGAGAAUAGUGGUUGGUUCCAAGGUACGGGUGUAUGGAAACUCCCAACUGGAGUUGUGAACGAGGUGAGUGUGCUUAAGAUAUCAAGUGCUGCAUUAGAAGGAUCGAUAUGUAAUGCAAUGGUUUGACUGUGAAUCUAUCUCCGUAGGGUGAGGAUAUAUGUGAUGCAGUUGUCAGGGAAGUAAAGGAAGAGACCGGAGUAAGUGAAGAGUUUUAUGUUGUGUAGAAAAGUUAAUUAUCUGAGGCAUUUCACUUGAGAAUUCCAACUAAAGCCUUGUUCUUUAACGAUCUACAGGUUGACACUAAAUUUGUUGAAGUCCUUUGUUUCAGGUAAAGAAAAGCCUCUAUUUCAGAUUGUUGUGCAUUAAUAUGUUUUGGUCUUUAUUUAGAUAUCUGUGUUUAGCCUUCUGAUGUUCAAAUUUGCUUUCGCUUUCUCACAUUCUAUCUCUUAUGUUCGAUCACAGACAAAGCCACAAAUCAUUCUUCACAAAGUCGGAUUUGUUCUUCCUUUGCGUGCUUCAACCAAAAUCAUCUGCUAUUGAUAAACAGAAUGUAGAGAUUGAGGCAGCCCAGGUAAAUUGCACACUUGCAUAUAUUGUUGAUUUUGGUGGAAGGAUGAGGACCUUUUAUAAUUAAAUCAUUGCUUGGGCUGUCUUGUACAACACUGGGCUGCGUGCUUCAAUCUUGCAUUCUUGCUUAUUUGUGCUAAACAAUGAAUCUAGUAAAAUUCAAUGUAUAAUUUCUCAAGCACAUCAACGACGACGAGUGACCUCACUCGAUACCUGUUAGGAUAUAGCCAUGUAGUAGCGGUGUUAAAACAUAAUCAUUCAUUAAUUCUUUCUUUGGCCAAAUCUAUACACUGAAGUGGAUGUAUAUUAUUUUGAUUAUAGUGGAUGCCAAUUGAGGAGUACGCAAAACAACCUUUCGUCGUUAACAACAAGCAAUUCAAUUUCAUGGCGAAUAUAUGCUUGGUGAAGGCUGAUCAUGGCUACCCUGGUUUUAGUGCUCGGGCCACAACUACUUGGGGUGGCAAAAGGAUUUACAUCUACUGCAAUAAGCCUGAAAUUGUGGAGAACUUUGCAAGUUUGAUGUAAUUACUAAAAAAGAUGAAAUUUUUAUUUCUUAAUUUUAAAUUACUGUUAAUGUUUAAUUUUUUCAUAUUUUCUUUUUUUCCCCCUCUUCCUCUUAUUUGUGGUAAGUUUUAAAAUUUGAUUGUACUUUUUGAAAGUUGCUAAGAUUCGAUUACACUUUCAUAAUAAGUUUAAGAAUUUUUAGUGCUCUUAGCCAUUUAUAAAACUAUAGAAGGUAGCAUCUUUUUUAUAGAAGAAUAAUGAAGUUAAACCUAUCUACAUUUGAAGAAAAUGGAGAAUUAGGUUUCAGCGAUUUGCUUCCCCUUUAAUAAGGCAAUACUGAGAAAUCAAGCUUGGAGACUAACUCAAAACCCUUCAUCACUUUGGCGUUGGCUAUUGAAAUGAAUUUACUUUCCUAGCGUAGACUUUUGGCAUGCAGAAAAAGGAGUAUGCCCCUUUUAGGGAUGGUAGAGCUUGCUCGCGGGAAGGGAUUUAAUCUCUCACUUAGUGCAUUGUUUAGUACAUAAUGAAGCUAACAUAACAAUUAGAGAAAAGACAAAUGGCUGAAAAAGAUGGGGCUUGGAGGUCCUGCUCCUAGAGGUGAACCACUUGUGCAGUCGAUCUAAUUAGCAAGGAGAACUCAUGGAAUGUUCAAUUUCUAGAGGAUAAUUUUGACAUUAAAUUGUCGAUAAAAUCCAAUCUACUCCAGUGAGGACUCAAAUAGCAAAAGAUCAUAUUGUAUGGACAUGGAUUCAAUCAAACAAAUAUUCAGUCGAAAGAGGAUAUAAUCACAUAAGAGGGUCAGAUGACAAACCUAGCUAGAUUCAAGCAUUUUCCUCCUUUCAACUUCCUCACAGUCUAUGGAAGGAGAUAUGGAACUUGUGUACCACCCCUAAAGUCAAAUUAUGUAUGUGGCCCACUAUGUCAAAAUGCUCCACUUAUGAAGGAGAACCUAUUUGGAAGAUGAAUUGUACUCGAUUUGAUAUGCACAUUGUGCAAUAAAGGCGUCCUCGAGACAACAGAGUAUUUAUUCUUGUUACCCACAUACGACCUAGAUCUAUAUAUUAAACUUUCGAGAUAAGGUUUGUCAAGAAUUGAAGCAUGGAUAUAAGAACUAAAAGCAAACUUAGCUCACUUGCCAAAUUUGGAAGUGGUCGUGUUGGUACUCUGGCACAUGUGAAAAGCACGAAAUCACUUGGUCCUCACGAAUAGAGCUCUAGCUCCACCAGGCAUCGUGGAUUCUGCCAGGCGACGAGCAUAAAGAUAAUGGGUCCGGUCAGGCGCGGAGGGAGGUGAAGCAAGCAAAGUCACGGCCUUCGUCAGCCUUGCCACUUGCCAGCGAGGACCAUGGCACUCUCCGUAGAUCUAGCGCUGCGGCCUUGUUGAAUUCUCUCUGUCUCUGUCUCUGUCUCUCUUCAUAUGCGGGUGCAGCGGCGACGGUGGCAGCAACAAUGGGCUGAGACAAUGGUGAGGGUCGUUGGACCGUCGUCAGUGGAUGGACGGCCCUGCCACCGGCCAAGGUACCUCCUCCUUCCCUGGUCAGGCUUAGCCACCGACUCUCCCUCUUUUUUAGGGUUUUUUAUUAUUAAAAUUUGUUUAGGAAAAGAAAACCAGAAAACCCAAACUAUUUAUAUUUACCCUAAGUUUUUUCUUUAUAACAUAAAAAAUCUCACACUAUACACUAUACUAACUAUAAUACUUUUAUCCUUAUGAGAUCAAAAAUCACAAAACUAUUAUUAUGUGAUAUAUUUACACUCCACCAAGGUUUAGUUAAAUGAUUUUUUAGUCAAAAUAAAGUCAGUUGUUUUGCUUACAUCACGUCCUUGAAAAUAGAUUUUUAACGGUGCUCAUUAAUAAAAUAUUAAUAUAAGGUAAAUAUGUUAUACAUUAAAAAUUUAGAAUUUUAGAUUUGUGGAUGUUUUUUUUUUCCUCAAUUUUUUUUUUUUUUUUGCGCGCCAGUGAUGUAUUAGAUGGGAAACGGGUCAUUCGUAUAUUUAAGGGAAGGGAAUGGAUCAGUUGAGUAUGCGAUCAAAAAAAAAAAAAAAUUGCAAAGGCGUGUGAUUGAAUAAAAUAAAGAAGCUCAAUUAAUUCUUUUAUUUAUUAAUUUUCGCAUGACCGUUACCCAACACGGUCGACAAAUUGCAGUCCUAAAGCAGUCGUCCCUUCCCUUGAAUUUGACAUAAAUUUUCAUUUACCUAGACUCAAACUCGAGAGGUAGAUUCCCAGGAAGCUACUGGGAACAAAAGAGGAAGACGAUGGACACUUUCGAUGAUCUUCCCAUUGCCUCUUCUCUAGUCAUUUUCCAAUCUCAAAGUCUUUUUCUUUCUUUCUGUUUUCCUAGGAUUCACCGGUCAAUCAAAUGACUCUUAUAUUAUAUAACUUGAAUCUUUGGUCAAUCACAAUCCUCGAUUGAAACGCAGAAGGUCCUCGGUAUUACAAAAUUAACAGACGUAAGAAGGGGAAGAAACAUUACGAAAAGAUCGUAACCCUUCAAUAAUAGGGUGUGGUCCACAAUGAUAGGAGCUUGCCACUUUCGAAUCAAAUAAAAUUGUUGCUAACAGGAUUUUAUCGAUGAGAGAAAUCAUGAUUUGUCUCUUCUCAUAUCAUUUGCAAUCAAUAUUUUGGAAAUUAUACAAUUUUCUUAUUAAGUACGCUUAAUCUCAUUAAUUGGAUCCUUACAAUAUAAAAAAGAAGUUUAGGUAUAUUAAGGGCACGUUUGAUAACAACAUUUAGUACUAAAAUUUACAAGGAAGGAGCUGCCUCAUUAAAUUCAAACGAAAUUAUUUGGUGAUAAUUAGAGUAGUAUCAAUUAUAUUGUUGAAACUUAUUAAUAAUGUUUGGUUCGCCUAUGGUAAGGAACUAAUAAUCUCCCUAACACUAAAGUUGUGGACAUAUUUAGGGCUUAAAUAUGUGGCACCCAUUUCACAAUUUUAUUGAAUGGGCCUUUGGAGGCUAAGAUGGAUUAUGAUGCGACGAGAUAAAUUUUUGUUUGGAUACUAAAUGUGAUCCACUUGUUCAAAUGUUCAAUAAUAGUUUGCCUUAUCAUCGAUUUAAUAGCUUACGGCAAACACUAAUGAAUAAUAAUUUGCCUUAAAUUAUUCUUCUCAUGGUCAGAUAAGAAUAAUUUGCGUAUAUAUCUAUAUCAAAGAAUAAUACAUGCUUUAUAAGAUGAUUAAGAUUAAGAUAUUAUCAAUUAUAAUCUCUAUAAGAUAUGCACAAUUUAUAUAAGGAAAAUGACAUAAAUAAUUCUUGAAUUUUAGUUUAAUGUGCAAUGUGAUUCGUACAUUUUUAAUUUGUUCAAUGUGGUCUUGAAAUUUUAAAUGUAGUUCUUGAACUUUCAAUUUCAUUAAUAGUUUUUUUGGACUUUUGGUACAUAUUCGCUUUAGUUCUUGAACUAUAUAAAAAGAUUCAAUGUAGUCCCUACAAUCAAAUUAAUGAAAAGAUAAUAUUGAAUAUUUUAAUAUACUUUAGGGAUUAAGUUAAACAUGUUAAGGUAAAAUUCAAAAAUAUAUUUCAGGGAGAAUAUUGAGUAUUUUAAUAUUAUCAUAUUACAUAAUAAGGUAAAAUUCAAAAAUUAUUUUGGACGAAUUAAAAGUUGAAGGACCAUCGGAUAAAAGUUGAAUGACUAUUUGUCUGGUUAUCCCGUUUAGAUAUGGAACCUCGGAAAAUGGUGAAGACUGAAAGGACAUCAUGAUAAGAAAACUUUGAUUUUGUCGGACGCGUUCUUGGGAGAAGAACCGAUCGCCGAUCUACACCUACAGCGAGGACGACGGAAGAAACAAGGUAAAUUCUGAGCGCCCGAGGUCGAAUCUGCCCGGUGGCAUCCCUGCAUCUUCAUCGGUUCCGUGUCCGUGGAGGUGUGCAGCCGAGGGGAACGUUCGCCGCAAAUCUUUCGAAGACCAGAUCACCGCGCCAUUACUCCUCCCCAGAUGUUUCAAAUUCGCAGACCCAGACGAAGCCUUUAUAUGGUUUUACCGUUGCUGCCUCUAUCUUUCACUUCGCUUUAGCCGUUGGUGCGAUAGCAGUGCAGUGAGGAACAACUUUAAUCUCCGUCCGUUCGAUGUUCGUGCCGAGACUGAAAAGCGUCAAGCUUUUCGACCCGCUCCUCCACGCGCGCCAGGGCUCCGUGCCGAGACCGGUCGUCCGAGGCCUCUUUUUUAGUGCUUUGACUCCUCGCAAGCCAAGGGCUUUAGAGGGUACGCGUGGAUUGAUGCAUUUGGUUUUUUUCUCUCGAGUUUUCAUUGUUUAAUCCUUCGUCUGUGACGACGGUAAAGCCUACCCAAUUGCCCACCUUCUGUAUUUCUUUACUUGUUUGCUUCAUGGGCAUUCGCAAUUUAGUUGUUUUUGCGUUUGGUUCUUUCUUUCUUUUUUCAGAAAGUUUUGAUUUUUCUUCGUGGGUGUGGCUGUCUUGAUGCUCUUGAGCUUUGAUUAUCAAGGAACAUCGUUACCCAAGAGUGUUUGCGAGAGAGUUGACUUAGCAAACAGAGACUAUUGAGGUCUUCCUCCUUUUUUUAAUAGUAUUGUUCUGGGUUAUUUUCUAUUUGGGUUUAUUACAUUUGAGCUAGACCAGUAGUUUCCGAUAGAAAUCAGCGGAUGAAUGGUCGCUUCAUUUGUCCAGGUUUAGCUCCUAGGGUGCCCUUUCCCAUCAGAUACAAGUCCAUCAGUGCAUCAUCAGCUUUGAGGCAAGGCAUGACUGAACAUAACGAUAGUGAGAUCGAGCAGAUUCAACUGCUCGAUGGGUUUCAGGAUUCAUAUGGAGGAGUUACUGUGGAGAUGAAGGAGCAUAUGGAUGCUGAUGUCUUUGCCCCUUUGCUCCGGGCUUCAAUAUCAAGCUGGAAACAACAGGUACCGCACUUGUAUUUCGUCGGUCUCUUCUUGUUUUUUUCAAUUUGUAACAAUAUCAAUCUGGUCUUCUGUAUUUCUUCUUAUUGGGUAUAUUUUGGUUGCAGGGGAAGAAGGGAGUGUGGAUCAAAUUGCCCAUUGAAUAUUCGCAUCUUGUUGACAUUACAGUGAAGGUACAUACAUGUUUUUUCCCGUGGCCAAGAUUUAGUAUUGGCCCCUCUUGUUAAAUCACUUUCUAGCAGGAAGUUUGAUAGGCUAAGGUAUGAAAUACACGGUUCAUUGAAAUAUUGUCUGGUAAUUUGGCAGGAAGGAUUUAGGUAUCAUCAUGCUGAAUCGAAUUACUUGAUGCUUGUCUGCUGGCUUCCUGAGACCCUGGAUACUAUUCCUGUGAAUGCUUCACAUAGGGUGGGCGUUGGUGCUUUCGUCUUGAAUGAUAAAAGAGAGGUAACUUUCUGCCUUGCCAUUGUCCCAUUUCUAGCACUCACCCUUUUAAGACUCUCUAAUAGGAAGCUGCAAAGGGAUGGAAAUGUAACAUUUGAUUUGCUCAUUCAGUUGUUCUUAGAAGUUCAGAGUUGGACUCUAGCACCUCUCUGCAGUAGUGUGUAAGACUAGAGAUUUGCAGUGCGUGAAAUCAGCCUGCUUGAUAGGCAUUGAGUCCUUUAGAAGGAUAGGUAGGAUCACAGUAAUUUCGCCUGGGAAGAAAACCUCUGCAUUCAAUGUCCAUUGGGUUUGUACGCAUGUAUGUUACCAUUGUGGAUAAGCAGAGAUAUUGGAGUGCGAUAAAUCUUCUCAUCAUAGCAACAAUCGCAUAAUCUUCUAUCUGUUUUCCUAGGGAUUCAGCUCGUGGAUAAUAGCCUUACUUUGUGAAGAGAUAAAAUGCAGUGAAGUUUUAUGCCAACUUUUGUUCAGUGCAUGCUUUUUUACUGCUUUAUCCUGUUUUCAGCGUGAUUCUUACGCAACCACACCCUAAAGAAUUUAAAACCUUUCCCUCCUUUCUAGGUGCUUGUAGUCCAAGAGCAUAGUGGAAGGUUCCAAGGUACGGGUGUAUGGAAACUCCCCACAGGAGUCGUGAAUGAGGUGAGUAUGUUUACGAUGUCAAGUGCUACAUAAGAAGUAUCCAUAUGUAAUACAAUGGUUUGACUGUGACUCCAUCCCUGUAGGGAGAGGAUAUAUGUCAUGCAGUUGUCAGGGAAGUAAAGGAAGAGACUGGAGUAAGUGAAGAGUUUUAUGUUGUGUAAAAAAGUUAAUUAUCUGAGGCAUUUCACUUGAGAAUUCCAACUAAAGCCUUAUUCUUUUACGAUCUACAGGUAGACACUAAAUUUGUUGAAGUCCUUUGUUUCAGGUAAAGAAAAUCCUCUAUUUCAGAUUGCGGUGCAUUAAUAUGUUUUGGUCUUUAUUUAGAUAUCUGUGUUUAGCCUUCUGAUGUUCAAAUUUGCUUUCGCUUUCUCACAUUCUAUCUCUUAUGUUUGAUCACAGACAAAGCCACAAAUCAUUCUUCACAAAGUCGGAUUUGUUCUUCCUUUGCAUGCUUCAGCCAGAAUCAUCUGCUAUUGAUAAACAGAAUGUAGAGAUUGAGGCAGCCCAGGUAAAUUGCACACUUGCAUAUCUUCUUGAUUUUGGUGGAAGUAUGAGGACUCUUUAAUAGUUAAAUCAUUGCUCGGGCAGUCUUGUACAACACUGGGCUGCAUGCUUUGGAUCUUGCAUUCUCGCUCAUUUGUGCUGAACAAUGAAUCUAGUAAAAUUUAAUGUAUAAUUUCUCAAGCACAUCGACGACGAGUGAUCUCGCUGGAUACCUGUUAGGAUAUAGCCAUGUAGUAGCCGUGUUAAAAGUUGAUCAUUCAUUAGUUCUUUCUUUGGCCAAAUCUAUGAACUGAACUGGAUUUGUUUUCUCUUGAUUAUAGUGGAUGCCAAUUGAGGAGUAUGCAGCACAACCUUUUGUUGUUGGAAACAAGCAAUUCAAUUUCAUGGCGAAGAUAUGCUUGGCGAAGGCUGAUCAUGGCUACCCUGGUUUUGGUGCUUUGGCCACAACAACGGGGGGUGGCAAAAGGACUUACAUCUACUGCAGUGACCCUGAAAUUGAAUAGCACUUUGCGUGUUCGAUAUAAUUCCUGCCUGGGUUGUAAUGUGGAAUUUCUUCCUUAGACCCAGGCCUACUGGACUGGACCGUGUUGAUCCCACGACUGAUUUUGUGAACACUACGUGAGCCCUAGAUGUAGGUCCCACAAAAUCAAAGGUUAGGAUGGACUCAGUCGAGUGACCUAGGACUAAGGCAAGAAUUUUCCAGUUGUGAUGUCGCAUGACCAUUGAUGGUGGCCAACUGGGGGGGCUUAUGGAGGAGGCGGCCAAAGCUCUUGAAGAUGGGAAGAUCGAUGUCCAUUCUGAUCUAAAUUUGUUAUAGUUUGGUUCAAACACUUCAGAAUUAUCUUCAACUUCAAUUCAUGUCCUCAAGUAAUAAAAUCAAUUUAGACUUAGCAUUAUUUUUAAAUAAAUAGCUUAGGCUUAGCUUAAUCAAAUUGAAUAGAACUAGGCUCGCCUUAGUUUUCUUAACAAGCUUCCAUGGGCUUAUGUCUUGAAGCUUAAUAACAAAGCUAUGUUUGUAUUGGGUUUUUCAUUUCUAUAACACUCGAUGAAUUGCGAGUUUACUUUUAUUGCACUUAGAAUAACUUAUUCUUUCAUUUCAAUGGAUGUUUACUUAUCGCACUGCAUUUCAAUACAUUGUUUGUUAAUUUAUCUUUCUUGGUUAGAAUUAUAAGUACUUUAAAUUUUCAAGGGACCUACCUACAAAAAGAUUUGCAUAGACAUUUAGGGUCCGUUUGUUUUGUGGAAAAUGUACAAUUUCUAGAAAAUACCUAUCAAGAAGUCAUCUUCUAUCGGUAUUUGAUUGAAACGUCAAAAUCAAUCAAAAAAUAUUUUUCGCUAUUUGUUGUGGAGAAUUUGAUUUGAUUUUUAUGAGGAAAAUUACUAAAAAAUAUGAUUUUUUUAAUUCUUGAUUUUAAAUUACUUCUAAUUUUUAAUUAUAUAUAUUCUUUUUUUUCCAUUAUUUCUCUUAUUUAUGGUAAGUUUAACGAUUUGAUCGUAAUUUUUGAAAGUUUUAAGACUCAAUUGUACUUUUAUAAUAAGUUUAAGAAUUUCUAGUACACUUAUCCAUUUAUAAAACUAUAGAGCAUAGCAUCUUUUUAAUAGAAGAAUAAUGAAGUUAAACUUAUACUAUGUUUGAAGAAAGGGAGGAUUAGGUUUCAGGGAUUUGCUUUCCCUUUAAGAAGGCAAUACCGAGAAAACAAGCUUGAAGACUAACUCAAAGUCCCUCAUCACUCUCAUGCCGGCCAUUGAAAUGAAUUUACUUUCCUUGUAUAGAUUUUUGGCAUGUAGAUAAAGGAGCAUGCCCCUUUUAGGGAUGGUAGAGCUUGCUCGUAGGAAGAGAUUUAGAGUGUGUUUGGUUUAGCAUUCCCAAUGGGCUUUAGAGGCUGGAAACCCCUUGGGAAAAUGAUGGGUCGUUUGGCAAUCAUUUUGAAGUAGCUUUCAAGUGAAAGUCAGCAUUAGGAAGGCUGAAAGUCCUAUGUUAGUAAGGAUUAGCUUUGAGCUUUCAGCAUUUGGCCAAAUGCUAAAACUUAUUUUUUUUUCCAAAACUAUCAUCACUCAUUUUUCAAAUUUCUUAUUUUGCCCUCAUUAUUAUUUUUUAAAAUGCCCAAAAUAAUGCUAAAAAAAGCAAAUUUAUAUAAAUGCUAAAAAAAAUUAAAUAUAUUUUGGUCUUUUAAAAAAAAUUAUUUAUAUAUUUGAUUUUUUUAGCAUUAUUGUCAAAAUUUAUAUUUAAAAAGCUGCAUACAUGAUUUUUUCAAUUUUAAAUAAAUACAAAUUAAAAAAUUCCGACAAAGGGUUUGGUCUUUUAAAAAAAAAUUAUAUAUAUGUAUUUGAUUUUUUAGCAUUAUUUUCAAAUUUAUAUUUAAAAAGUUACAUACAUUAUUUUUUCAAUUUUAAACAAAUAAAAAUUUCGAUGAAAGAUUUGGUCUUUUUUUUUUUAAAUAUAUAUGUAUGUAUUUGAUUUUUUUUGGUAUUAUUGUCAAAAUUUAUAUAUAAAAAGUUGCAUACUUUAUUUUUUUCAAUUUUAAACAAAUGAAUUAAAAAAAAAACUAAUAUUAAUCACACAAAGGGCUUUUUAAAUGUGUUUUCUACCAAUCGGCAUUUCUCUCAAAGUUACUUCUUAAAGUAUAGUUUACCAAACGGCCUUUGUAUUUACCUAAAGUCUUUUAGGCUAAAUUAUUUUGCAUUUUCCCAAUGGGCUUUCAAAAUAUUGAACCAAAUGCACCCUUAAUCUCUCACUUAGUACAUUGUUCAGUACUAGAGGUGUUAAAUGGGUUGUGCAAUCCAUUUAUGGACCCAUUUAAGCAUAAAUGGGUCGUUAAUGGGUCGGCCUCAUUUCUUAAGACACCCUGAUGGGUUUUUAAAAAAAAAGAACUAAAAUAAAUGGGUCUUAAAUGGGUACCCAUUUAAGACCCAUUUACAAAACCCAUUAAAGUCUGAAGAUGGGUUCAUCUGAUUAACCCACGUCCCGCGAUCUCGAUUCUCUACUCUACCCUACUCGGCUACCCCUUUUCGCUUCCACGAACCCAUCGUUGCCUCAUCGCCGCUUGCCACCGCCCAUUGUCGAGCACAAGCUCCGCACUGUCGGUAAUCUCUCCAGUCCCUUCGUUUCCUCUACUCGAAUCCAGAGCUGUUCCUUGCGCGUUGCGCCGGAGCCGGAUUUUUUUUCGCUCUCUUCUGUUUUUCCGAUUUCUUCUUCUCUUUUGAUAAAUUCUUCUUGGGGGGUGGGAUUUGCAGGUUCUCUGUGGCUGAGCGGGAUCGCGGGCUCGAUCGCCUACAACUGGUCGCAGCCCAACAUGAAGACCAGCGUCAAGAUCAUUCAUGCCAGGUACAUACCCUUAUCUUUUGUGACGUUUUGUUAGUUUGGAUACGGAUUUUGGAACCCAUUUCCCCUGUAAUUUUUAGCUUCUUACUGAUUGGAUUACUUGUCUCUGGUUGGGGAAAUUUGUGCCCUUUGCUUGUCCUUUGCAUUCUCCCAUCAGCAGAUAGGGAGAAGGGCAAAAGUAGAAAAAAUGGGCAUAUCGAGUUGGCUUGAUGUAUUUAUGGUUUUCCUGUUGGGGUUGAGAAGAUGUUAUGUUUAAAUUAUAUGUGCUAUGUAGAUUCUGGCUUAAUGGAUGUCCAGCACAGUUCUGUGUACACUUUCUCUGGUGACUGCUAAAGCUAUCGAGUGUGCUUUGUUAAUUUGUUCAAUAGCUUUCUUCCUUAUCCCUAGAAAUGGUUUGUCCUUUUUGUACAACUUACUAUGAACAAUUCUUCUUUUGCAUUGUCUAUUUGGUUAUUCCAUCUGAUUCUUGCGUAUUUUCAUUUAAGUACUUGUUGAUGUUGGUGGAAAACAGAUGGGCCGGGUGGAACUCCGGGAUGUUAAUCGUAAAGAAGAGUUUGUGAGGAGGAUUGUGUUAGGGAAAUCCCUUAUGAUGUUUUGAAGAUGACAAAAUAAAUCAAAGGCUACUAACAUGUUUGAUGGUUGAGUAAUAGACCGUGCAGAUGUUAGAACAUGUAGAGGAUAUUAUCAAAGUCAGAAGACGGCCAGAAGACUGAACGUAACAUAUGUCCAGAGUAUAUUUUGAAGAUUUCCAGACUUCUGUGUCAAAGUCUGAAGACUGCCAGACUCAAGACUCAAAGUCUGAAGACUAUCAGACUUUAGUGUCAAAGUCUGUUCUACAUCAGAAGUCUGCUCACUCUGACAAAUUCCAGACUGAACGUGAAUGAUGAACCAGAAGACAGACUCUAUGCUGAAGCUGAACCAGAAGACAGACUCUAUGCUGAAGCUGAACUGGGUACAGAUCUUAAAGCUAAAUCUGUUCAGAAGCAAAUAUGUUCAGACCCAGAUUGUAAAGUCUACAGACUCAGAUUGUAAAGUCUAUGGCUAUCAAACUUUACAUCCAGAUUCAACAGAUCGUAACUCAAGCCCAAUCAUACAACGGCUAGUGAUCUGGUUUGGAUUCCACAUCAAGAUUGAUUUGAUUGAUUCAAUCUAAUUGAUUGACGAUUGGAUCUUGAAGACAAGAUCUUUCUAUACGAAGAAGCUUUACUUAUGGAAACCAAGAUUCCGUUUGUAUGGGCAAUCGGAAUCAAUUGGGGAUUUUACCUUUGUCACUCAACGGCUACCAAAUCUUCUAAAUACAGAGCUGUCCAAUGGGUAUAUUGGAAGACGAUUCUCCGGGAUGCUGUCCAACGGCUAGUUUGGAAGUGGAGGAGUAUUUAAGGAGAUGAAGGACCGAUGAGCAAGUAAGAGACGGAGCGUAGAAUUUAUAAUUCUAAAGUCUGAGCGACUUUCGAUCAUAUACUUGUCUCUUGAGAGCUUAAACGUUUGUAAUCGUGAGAGAAAUACUAAGAAAGUGACUUAGUGAGAUAGUGUGAUCUACUACUAAGUGUUUGCACUCGAAGUUGUAAUCUCUUGUUGAUUGCAUAGUGGAAUCCAGCCAAGAAGGCUGUUAGCGUGGGAGAGUGGACGUAGGCUUGGAUUAAGCCGAACCACUAUAAAUCUUGUGUUCUUAUUCUCUUCCCUAACUCUUUUAUUUUGUUCAUACUAGCACUCUCAGAUUGAAGAAGCUGCAAGAAGUAAUCUGAUCUUGAUUUUCAGCUAACUAAUAGUGAAGUAGCACAUAUAAUGAUGUAUUCUUGGUAUACGUUUGUGGCCUCUAUAGGACUGGGAAGCUACAGUUCCAUGCAAGUGAUAAUGAGAUUGUGCAACAACGUGACAAAGUAAUGAGGAUAUUAACUUUUAUAGUUCUAAGUUCCCCUUGAGACUCACAUAAUCCAACCUAUUUUUUUUUGGUUUUUGAUGUGCAUAGUNNNNNNNNNNNNNNNNNNNNNNNNNNNNNNNNNNNNNNNNNNNNNNNNNNNNNNNNNNNNNNNNNNNNNNNNNNNNNNNNNNNNNNNNNNNNNNNNNNNNGCUUGCCCAGCCACGGUGAGGCUCGCCGGCCCCCAGCAAGGCCGAGCUCGCCCAGCCACCGGUCGCCUGGUAGCUCGCCCAGCCACCGGUCGCCUGGUAAGUGGCCUGGCGAGGCCAAGCCUCGCCAGGGGCCGGUGACACUCCGGCGAGGUCGCCGGCCCUCGACAGCCGGUUGCUAGUCAUGGACGAGGCCAACGACCGGCCAAAGAAAAAAGAAAGAGAAGAAAAGAAAGAAGAGAGAAAAUUUAUUUAUCCAAAUUGUUCCAGAAACAAGAAACACGUUUUUUUUUGUUUCUUGUCUCUGUUUCAAUUUUGUUCAUGGGAAUAAAAAAACAUAUUUGGAACAAAAACGCAAACAAAUGCGUUUCUGUUCUUUUUUUGUUCCCAGGAACAAAAAAACAGGAUUUUUGUUCAUAAACAAAAAAAAAAGAGUACAAACAUACAGGCCCUGACACUCCCUCUUUUUUGGGGUUUUUUAUUAUUGGAAUUUGUUUAGUACAAAAACCAAAAAACCCAAACUAUUUACAUUUAGCCUAAACUUUCUUUGUAACAUAAAAAAUCUCAAAUUAUGCUAACUAUAAUACUUUUACCUUUAUGAUAUCAAAAAUUGCAAAACUCUUAUUGUGUGAUAUAUUUACACUUCAUCAAAGUUUAAUUAAAUGAUUUUUCAGUCAAAAUGAAGUCAUUUAUUUUGCUUAAGCCACGUCCAUGAAAAUAGAUUUUUAGUGGCACUCAUUGACCGAAUAUUAAUGUAAGGUAAAUAUGUCAAAAUUUUGGAAUUUUAAGUUUGAGGAUGUUUUUUCUUUAAAAAAAAAAAGAAGGAAAAUUUAUUGCUCUCGAGUGAUGUAUUAGAAGGGAAACGGGUCCUUCCUAUGUUUAAGGGAAGGGAAUGGAGUAGUUGAGUGUGCAAUUGGAUAAAAGAAAAUUUCAGAGGCGUGUGAUUGAAUAAAUUAAAGAAGCUCAACAACUACGGACUGCUUAAUUCUUUCAUUUAUUAAUUUUCGCAUGACCAUUAGCCAAGACGGUCGACAAAUUGCCGUCCUAAAGCAGUUAUCCCCGCCCUUGAUUUUGACAUAAAUUUUCAUUUACCGUGACUCAUUCUCAAAAGGUAGAUUUCCAUGAAAGGUACCAAAAACCAAAAGAGGAAGGCGACGGACACUUUCGAUGAUCUUCCCAUUGCCUCUUCUCUAGUCGUUUUCCAAUCUCAAAGUCUUGUCAUUUCCAUUUUCCUAGGAUUCUUCAGUCAAUUAAAUGACUCUGAUAUUAUAAAACUUGAAUCUUUGGUCAAUCAUAAUAAACUAUUGAAACGUGGAAGGUCCUUAGUAUUACAAAAUUAAUAGACAUAAGAAGCAAGCGGAAGAAACAUUAUGAAAACAUUGUUAGUAACGCUUCAAUAAUAAGGGGGAAAUUAUAAAAAAAAGUCCUAAAUUUAUUGUAAUUGUGUCGGUUUAGUUCUAAACUUUUUUUUUUUCAUCAAUUGAGUCAUGAACCUUUUACAAUUAUUCUCGAUCAGUCCAUCCGGCAAAAAUUAUCCGGCCAGCGCUGAUGUGGCACCUGGUCGGCACUGGCAAACUUUUUUUUUAAUAAUAUAUUUUAUUUUUUGAAAUAUUUUUUGAAAUAUUUUAUCUUUUUUUUUUUUUCCUUUUUCCUCUUUUUCCCCCCUUCUCCCUCUUCCUUCUUCCUCCCUCCUCCCUCCUCCUUCCUUUGGCUCCGGUGACUAGCCAGUCACUGGACUGAGGCGAUUUGGUGAGCUCGCGCCCAAUGACAGUGGGGCGAGCCCCCACCGGAUUUGGCAAGGGCUCGCCUCGCGGUCAUCGAGCGACGCGAGCUCUCGCUAGAUUCGGCGAGGAGGGCAAUGCGGUGAGCCCUCGCCGGAUCCGGCGAGGGCUCACCCCGCAGUCGUUGGACGUGAGCUUGCCAACGAGCAAGGUUUCACCCUGUUGUCACUGGGCGUGAGCUUGCCGACUGGCGAGGCGAGCCCUCGCUAGACCCAGUGACGGUGAGGCCCCCCUCGCCGGAUCUGGUGAGGGCUCGCUUUGCUAGUGGUUGGGGCGAGCUCGUCCUCACGCAGGACGAUGAGGCGAGCUAACCCAGCCGCCUCAGUCCUGGCGACGAGCCAUCCUUGCCUUUGGUCAGACGCAGUAGCCAAUGAAAAAGAAGGGCAGACGAAGAGGAGAAGGGAGAAGAGGGGGCUCGAGACUGCAGAUCACAAACUCUCACGACUGAUAGACUCCUAAAUAUUAUUAAAAAAGGUCACCANNNNNNNNNNNNNNNNNNNNNNNNNNNNNNNNNNNNNNNNNNNNNNNNNNNNNNNNNNNNNNNNNNNNNNNNNNNNNNNNNNNNNNNNNNNNNNNNNNNNNNNNNNNNNNNNNNNNNNNNNNNNAUUUUCUUAUAAUAAGAUGAUGGUCCACAAAAAUAGGAGCUUGCCACUUUUGAAGCAAAUGAAAUCAUUGCUAACAUGAUUUUGUUAAUAAGGGUUCUCAUCAGUUGUCUUUUCUCAUGUCAUUCACAAUUAAUGUUUUGAAAAUCGUACAAAUUUUGUAUUAAGUAUGCUUAAUCUCAUUAAUAAUAUCCUUACAAAAUAAAAAGAGUUUAGGUAUAUUGAGGGCGUGUUCGAUAACCACAUUUAGUAUUACAAUUUAUAAGGAAAGAGCUGCUUAGUUAAAUUCAAAUGAAAAUAUUUAGUGAGAAUUAGGGUAGUACCAAUUAUAUUGCUAAAACUUAUUAAUAAUGUUUGGUUCAUGAUCGAUGAGGAACUAAAAAUCUCCCUAACUAUUCAUAGUGAAACCACCAUUUAAUUCCACUUUCAACACUAGAGUUGUGGACAUAUUUAGUGCUUAAAUAUGUAGCAGCCAUUUUACAAUUUUAUUGAAAUGAGCCUUUGGAGGCUAAGAUCGCUAUUAUGCAACGAGAUAAAUUUUAGUUGGAUAUUAAAUGUGAUCCACUUAUUUUAUUUUAUUUUAUAUUUUUUUUGGGUCCGUGAUCCACUUGUUCAUACGUUCAGUAAUAAUUUGCCUUUUCAUUGAUUUAAUAGUUGACGGCAAACACUAAUGAAUAGUAAUUUGCCUUAAAUUAUUUUCAUCAUAUAUUUCUAUAUUAAAGAAUAAUACAUGCCUUAUAAGGUGAUUAAGAUAAAGAUAAUAUCAAUUAUAAUCUAUUAAAGAUAAGCACAAUUUAUAUAGGAAAAAUGACACAAAUAAUCCUUGAACUUUAAUUAAUAUGUAAUGUGGUUUUUAAACUUUAAAUUCAUUCAAUAUGAUUCCCAAACUUUCAAUUUGUUUAAUUUGUUUAAUAUAAUUUUUGGACUUCUUGUACAUAUGCAGUUUAGUCCCUAAACUAUAUAAAAAAAUUCAAUGUAGUCCCCACAUAUAAAUUAAUGAAAAGAUAAUAUCGAACAUUUUCAUAUAAUUAAAGAAUUAAGUUAAAUAUGUACCAAAAUUUUAGUAUCAUAUUUAUAAAUUAAAAAAUUUAGGAUCAUAUAUAUAUUAGACUAAAUUUGAUGAUCAUAUUAAAUAAAUUAAAAAUUUAUGAACCACAAUAAAACUUCAAGCUUCAGGGUUAUCUGUGCUCUUAUUCAAUUCAUACAUGCAACCCUGAAGAUGACGGAGAAUGAAAUAACAUCGCAAUUGUCAAAAGUCUGUCAUUAUGUCAUGUCAGACGCGUUCUUGCGGUGAACCCGGGAGAAGGGCCAAUCGCCAGUCCACACCUCCACAACGAGGAAAAGCCCAAGACAGACGGCGACGACCCAAAAACAUAGUAGAUUCUGAGCCUCCGAGUGUCGACUCUAGUCCUUCCUUCGUCUCUGCAACCGCGAAGGGGGUCUCCCCCCCUGGCCGCGGGGAAUUUCCGCGGUUUCCUUGGAUUCCGUGUCCGUUGAGGACUGGAACCAACGGGGGAACAUUCGCAGCAAAUAUUUCGAAGGCCCAGGUCACACGCCAUUCCUUCUCCCCCGAUUGCGCAACUCCCCAGACCUAGAAGAANNNNNNNNNNNNNNNNNNNNNNNNNNNNNNNNNNNNNNNNNNNNNNNNNNNNNNNNNNNNNNNNNNNNNNNNNNNNNNNNNNNNNNNNNNNNNNNNNNNNUCAAGGAUUAGAUGCUGUGGAUCCAACGUGUUGGGUAUUGUGUGUAUCAUCAAUGUGGACUCCACACACAUUAUGUCACAUCUAUUUUAAAACAAGUUAAAUGGGUCGGGCCGCCCAGCCGUCAUCGUGGCCCGGUGACCGGCCAAAGAGAAGAAGAAGAAAAAAUAAAAAGGAAAAAGAAAAAUUAUAUUUAAAAAAUAAAAAUAAUUUAUUUUUAAAAAAAUAAGAAAUAAUUAAAAUUCGAUUUUUUAAAAUAAUUAUUUUAAAAAUUUUAAAAAUUGUCCAUUAAAUUUGUGUUUUAUAAAAUUAUUUUAGCAAUACCAUUUUAUAUAUAUAUAUAUAUAUAUAUAUAUAUAUAUAUAUAUCUAUAUCUAUAUCUAUAUCUAUAAUAAAUUAAGUUUAGUUAAAUGGGUUGGGUAUGGGUUGGGUAUGGGUCAAAAUUUUUGCAUUGUAAUAAACGAGUUAAUGGGUCGAUUUGGGUCGGACCAUUUAUGACCUGACCCAAACCCGACCCGACCCACCCGUUUAACGGGUAUACAGUAUGUAAUGAAGCUAACAUAACAAUUAGAGAAGACAAAUGGCUGAAAAAGAUGGGUGCUUGGAGGUCCUGCUCCUAGAGGUGAGCCACUAGUGGCAGUUGAUCUAAUUAACAAGGAGGAGAACGUAUGGAAUGUUAAGCUUCUUGAGGAUAAUUUUGACGUUAAAUUGUCAAUAAAAUCCUAUCUAUUCCAAUGAGGACUCAUAUAGCAAAAGAUUAGAUUGUAUGGACAUGGAUUCAAUCGGACAAAUAUUCAAUCCAAAGAGGAUAUAAUCGCAUAAGAGGGUUAGAUGACAAGCCUAGCUAGAUUCAAGCAUUUUCCUCCAUUCAAGUUCCUUACCGUCUAUGGAAGGAGAUAUGAAACUUGUGUAACACCCCUAAAGUCAAAUUAUGUAUGUGGUCCUUAUGUCAAAAUGCUCCACUUAUGAAGGAGAACCUAUUUGAAAUAUGAAUUGUACCCAAUUCGAUGUGUGCAUUGUGCAAUGAAGGCAUCCCUAAGAAAACAAAGCAUUUAUUCUUGUUAUACCCAUGGACAACCCACAUCUAUAUAUUAAACUUUUGACAUAAGGUUUGUCAAGAAUUGAAGCAUGGAUAUAAGAAUUAGAAGCAAACUCAGCUCACUCGCCCAAUCUGGAAGCGGUCGCGUUGGUGCUCUGGCACAUGUGAAAAGCACUAAAUCACUUCGUCCUCAUGAACAGACCUCUAGCUACACUAGGCGUCAUGGAUUAUGCAUUCACAAACUCAAAGAUUUCCAAAAAUUGGGGACUUAACACAACACCUACAGAACUUUUGGUCUCCACCAUAGCUCGGGUCAUUGAAAAUUAAAGUCGACAGAGCAUACAAUCCUUGAUCGACGAAUAGAAUCAUUGCUUGCAUUUGUCGUGAUCACUCGACAAGGCUUGUCGAUGGAUUUGCAAGAACUGUUUAGGCAUGGAUUUGCAAGAACUGUUUAGGCUUCAUCACCUUUUCGAUGGAGUGUCAUAUGUCGCUUUAAACCUAGUGUCCUUGUUGCCAAGAAAGAAAAUCUUUCGAUUGAGUCCCAUAAUCUCUGGUUAAUCAAUAUCCAUGGGAAGUUUGUAUACUGAUCACUAAGUGUCAUGGUCUGUUGCUCAACUUCUUAAAUAUCUAGUUUCAACAUUGCUAUAAAGAGGCAACUCCAUUGGGGACUUGGAAAGCCAAAGCCAUAGGAGAAAUUCCCUUCCACUAAUUUGGGUUAUUUCACCUCCCUUAAUUCUUUGGAACUUUUAUGUACUGAAACCCUUUUACAAGGCCCCUUUGGUUUUACUAGUUGAAUGAAAUGAGCUUUAUUUUGACAAAAAGGAAAAAGAGGCUGAUUGGAAAAAAAUUUCUUGCUUAGAUAAUUUCAUAUUAUUUUUUUUCGUCAAUUUCAAAGGAGGCGGUUUUUUUUUUCCUAAGAGAGUUCGACACAAACAAUCAUUAUAUUGUUCUACACGGUUUUAUUGGAGAAGCUAACUUUUUCCGCACUCAUAUUUUGCAUAUAUUUCCAUUCUAAAUUAUUAACUAAAUUCUCACUAUUAGCACAUGAUGUACACAUUUUCUUAGAACAUAUUGCCUUUUUCUUUUGUUUUCAACUUUUCUUUCCUGACGUGUACUCGUUCAAUUAUCAAUAACCAAUCAUUAAUAUAACCAUUGCCAAGUCGGCCACCGAUUUCUCCUUAGAAUAGAUCUCUUUUAUCUCAAUUCCAAAUAUCUACCGCCUAGAAAGACGGUUUGCAUGUCUACUGCCCAACAUCAUAUUUUAAUUGGGGAAGAAAGACAUCGACAGUUCUUUAACUUUUUUUUUUUUUCAAUUUGGGGUAUCAUCAAAUAAAACAUUUGAUGGCAAGUUGAUCGAUUAAUUCCAUAAGAAAUAGUAAUUAGUACCCGGUUUAAUUAAUACCACAACCGAAUCCACUUUCAUUUUGAUAAUCAAUGCUGACAAUUCUUGAAUUUUUUUUAUUUCAAUUUGGACUAUUGUUGAAUCCCAUAUAUAUAUAUAUAUAUAUAUAUAUAUAUAUAUAUAUAUAUAUGANNNNNNNNNNNNNNNNNNNNNNNNNNNNNNNNNNNNNNNNNNNNNNNNNNNNNNNNNNNNNNNNNNNNNNNNNNNNNNNNNNNNNNNNNNNNNNNNNNNNNNNNNNNNNNNNNNNNNNNNNNNNNNNNNNNNNNNNNNNNNNNNNNNNNNNNNNNNNNNNNNNNNNNNNNNNNNNNNNNNNNNNNNNNNNNNNNNNNNNNNNNNNNNNNNNNNNNNNNNNNNNNNNNNNNNNNNNNNNNNNNNNNNNNNNNNNNNNNNNNNNNNNNNNNNNNNNNNNNNNNNNNNNNNNNNNNNNNNNNNNNNNNNNNNNNNNNNNNNNNNNNNNNNNNNNNNNNNNNNNNNNNNNNNNNNNNNNNNNNNNNNNNNNNNNNNNNNNNNNNNNNNNNNNNNNNNNNNNNNNNNNNNNNNNNNNNNNNNNNNNNNNNNNNNNNNNNNNNNNNNNNNNNNNNNNNNNNNNNNNNNNNNNNNNNNNNNNNNNNNNNNNNNNNNNNNNNNNNNNNNNNAAUGCUCAUUACGUUGUCGUUAAACUUGAUGGGACAUAAGACUCAUAUAUAGCACUUUUUCUAUUUAAAAAAGAGAAUUCUGGGAAAAAUAAAAGAACAAGCACCAGCGGAGGGAAGGAAAGGGGCUGCUGUUGCGAAAGAGGCGGCCGGAAAUCCUCGCAAGGUCACCCGAUCCCAGCGGGUGGCGAGGGAUGCGAAGCAUCCGAGGAGGGACUUGAUCAUGGGUUUUUCCUUGCGAGGGAUGAUGAGACCAUCUGUUCCAGUAGAGAUCUCGGGUGGAUCUAUCUUGGUGGUUCUCAGGUUGUUUCGUUGCUGUUGCCGGCGUCAGCGGCAAAGAAGCGACGGUGAGUUUAGGUGGCGGAGGUUGAGCAGGGCAGCAACCCCGACGGCCAUGGAUUCGCACGAACCUGAUGUUUAUUACCUUCUCUGCAGCUACCAUAAACAGAUCUGAGAGCGCGCAUCUCUCUCUCCGUCCCUCUUUCUCUCCCUCUCCAUACGCGACGAGCAUAAAGAUAAUGGGUCCGGCCAGGCGAGGAGGGAGGUGAAGCAGGCGAAGUCACGACCUUCAUCAGCCUCGCCACUUGCCGGCGAGGACCAUGGCACUCUCCGCAGAUCUAGCGUUGCGGCCUUGCUGAAUUCUCUCUCUCUCUCUCUCUCUCUUCAUAUGAGGGGGCGGUGGUGGCGGCGGCGGCGGCAACAAUGGGCCGAGACAACAUCGGUGGAUAGAGGCCCUGCCACCGGCCGAGAUACCUCCUCCUUCCUUGAUUAGGCUUAGCCACUAGGGCGCGUUUGGUAACGUUUCUGUUAAAAAAUUGUUCCAGGGAACAGAAAUAGAAAAAAUUAUUUCUGCUCUGGAGAACAAUUUUUGAAAAGAAGACAGCGUUUGGUAAACUUGUUCCGGGAAUAAAAAAUGAGCAGAAACACUUCUGCGGCAGAUUUGGCCGAGCAACGCUCGCUCGAGGGACGGCUCGCCGCGCCGAAGGGGGAGCAGUGCCGACCGGAGAAGGAGCGCCGAAGGGGGAGCGACGCUCACCGGAGGAGGAGGGCCGAACGGAGAGCAACGCUGACCGGAAACGUACCUGGAGUCGCCGGAGUGAGGAGUCGCCGGAGAGUUAGUCGAGUGGGAGCCGCCGGAGAGAUGGAAGACAUGCCGGAAACGGAAGAACGAAGCUUCAGCCGAGAGGAGCGACGACGAGCACGCACGAAGAGUUCUUCGCUUUGUUCCGAAUUUGUUCUUUUGUUUCUUUCGUUUUUGUUCUUUUGUUCCGUCGAAGAAGUGUUUCUUUUCAAAAGAAACAACUUUUUUUUGUUUCUUUUUUCUGUUCCUAUUUCGUUCCAGAAACAAAAAAACAAAAAAGGAACAAAAACGCAACCAAACGCGUUUUUGUUCCUUUUUUGUUCCCGGGUACACUUUCCGUACAAAAGUGUGCCGGAAACGUUUCUUAGAAACGUUUCCAUGCACGCCCUUUGUGUUCUUUUUUUUGUUUCUUUUAAUUUUUUAAUAUUUUUAUUUUAUUUUUCUUAUUUUUCUUUCUUUUUUCUUAUUUUUCUUCUUUUGGUCGGUUGCCCAAGGCGAGCUCGGGCUUGCCCAAAUUCGGCGACCCGAGCUCGCCCAGCCUUGCCCCGCGCCGGCGAGGCCGAGCCUCGCCAGGGGCCGGCGACGCUCCGGUGAGGUCGCCGGCCCUUGACGGCGUCGCCAGCCAAAGAAAAAAGAAAAAGAAAAGAAGAAGAAAAAGAGAAGAAAAAGAGAGGAGAGAGAAAAUUGUUCCAAAAACAAGAAACACGUUUUUCUUGUUUUUUGUUUCUGUUCCAAAUGUGUUCUUAGGAACAAAAAAAUAGAUUUUGAACAAAAACGCAAAUAAACGCAUUUCUAUUCUUUUUUUGUUCCCUAGAACAAAAAUACAGAAAUUUUGUUCAUAAACAGAAAUAAAGAACGUUAACAAACAAGGCCUUAACGUGUGUUUUUUUUUUGGUAAGGUAGGCCUUAACGUGUGUUUAUUUGUGUUUCUAUUCAAAAAUUGUUCCAAGGAACAUAAAUAGAAAAAACNNNNNNNNNNNNNNNNNNNNNNNNNNNNNNNNNNNNNNNNNNNNNNNNNNNNNNNNNNNNNNNNNNNNNNNNNNNNNNNNNNNNNNNNNNNNNNNNNNNNGAAGAUUAACUAAGUAUAAUCGACCCACUCCUCGCGCGCCAGGGCUCCGUGCCGAGACCGGUCGUCCGAGGUCUCUUUUUUAGUGCUUUGACUCCUUGCGAGUGAAGGGCUUUAGAGGGUACGCGUGGAUCGAUGCAUUUGGUUUUCUCUCUCCACUUCUCAUUGUUUAAUCCAUCGUGUGUGGCGACGGCAAAGCCUACCCAAUUGCCCACCUUUCGUAUUUCUUUAUUUGUUUGAUUCAUGGACAUUCGCAAUUUAGUUGGUUUUUGUGUUUGGUCCUUUUUUUUGUCAGAAAGUUUUUAUUUUUCUCCAUGGGUGUGGCUGUCUUGAUGCUCUUUAUAUUAAAGCAUGUCUCGAGUUUGAGUUUAACGUGAAAUUCUAAAUAUUCCGAAUUGGAUAUGUUGCGGACGUUCAAAAUUGAGCAAAAAAGAUUCGAAUAUCAACUUCUCAAAAUUCGAAUCUGCGUUGAAGAGUUUGGCCACUGAAAUAGGAAAGUCCAACUUUCACUAGGAUUUGGAUUUUGUUUAAAAUAUAUAGGAAUAUAUUUUGGUUAAAAUAGGUAAGUUAAGAAACAGAAUCCUAUGAGAAGUCAGCAAAAGAAUAAGAUCCCACUUAUAUAUAUAGACUCGUGGUUGUGGAUGGUAGGAAUUUAAUAAUGAAAAAUUGGUCUUGAAGCACUAAGUUCUUGGGAGGAUUUUCUUUAAAUUUAGUGUUGAAGCCAAUUAAAUGUUGUGGUAAGAUUUGCAUGUAAUUUUUUCGUGAGAUUGAGAGAUUAUUUCUUGAGGAAUUCGGGGCUAAACACUACGUGUGUUAUUGGGUGCGAGUGAGUGUAAUUGAGGUUGGAAAAUACCGAGAGAGAAUGUUUGAGAGACUCGAGUGUGUAAUAUUCUUAUAUCGCUUGAUCUAUAGUAAAAUUCAUUACUGCUCUCCCCAUGGACGUAGAUUUUUACAACCGAACCAUAUAAAUCUGAUGUCCGAUUUAUCUUAUUCUGUCUAUAUUACUGUUCGAUUAUUCGCCUUUUCGCAACACUUUGUGUAUCCAUUGGAUGAGUGACUAGUGAGGUUCUUGGUUGUUCCUGGACAAAUAUAUAUUGAGAAAAAUGAACAUCAUCACCCAAGGGAGUGUUUGCGAGAGCGUUAGACUUAGUAAACAGAGACUAUUGAAGUGUUCCUCCUCCUUUUUUAUAUUAUUAUUAUUAUUAUUAUUUUUUUUUUAUAGUUCUGUUCUGGGUUAAUUUCUAUUUGGGUUUAUUACUUUACUUUUGAGCUAGACCAGUUGUUUCCGAUAGAAAUCAGUGGAUGAAUGGUCGCUUCAUUUGUCCAGGUUUAGCUCCUAGGGUGCCGUUUCCCAUCAGGUACAAGUCCAUCAGUGCAUCAUCAGCUUUGAGGCAAGGCAUGACUGAACAUAACGAUAGUGGGAUCGAGCAGAUUCAACUGCUUGAUGGGUGUGAGGAUUCAUAUGGAGGAGUCAGGGUGGAGAUCAAGGAGGAUAUGGAUGCUGAUGUCAUGAAAGCUGAUGUCUUUGCAUCUUUGCUCCGGGCUUCAAUAUCAAGCUGGAAACAACAGGUACCGCACUUGUAUUUCAUCUGUCUUGUCAGUUUGUUUUUUUCGAUUUGUAACAAUAUCAAUCCGGUCUUCUGUAUUUCUUCUUACCGGGUAUAUUUUGGUUGCAGGGGAAGAAGGGAGUGUGGAUCAAAUUGCCCAUUAAAUGUUCACAUCUCGUUGACGUUAUAGUGAAGGUACAUACAUGUGUUUUUUCAUGGCCAAGAUUUAGUGUUGGCCUCUCUUGUUCAAUCGCUUUCUAGCAGGAAGUUUGAUAGGUUUAGGUAUGAAAUACAAGGUUCAUUGAAAUAUUGUCCGGUAAUUUGGCAGGAAAAUUUUAGGUAUCAUCAUGCUGAAGCAGAUUACUUGAUGCUUGUCCGCUGGCUUCCUGAGACCCAGGAUACUAUUCCUGCUAAUGCUUCACAUAGGGUGGGUGUUGGUGCUUUCGUCUUGAAUGAUAAAAGAGAGGUAACUUUCUGCCUUGCCAUUGUCCCGUUUCUUGCACUUGCCCUUUUAAGACUCUAAUAGUAAGAUGCAAAGAGAUGGAAAUGUAACAUUUGAUUUGCUCAUUCAGUUGUUCUUAGAAGUUCAGAGUUGGACUCUAGCACCAGACUUCUCUUGCGGUAGUAUGUAAGACAGGAUAUUUGCAGUGUGUAAAAUCAGCCUGCUCGAUAGGCAUAGAAUCCUUUAGAACGAUAGGUAGGAUCACUGUAACUUUGCCUGGGAAGAAAACCUGUGCAUUCAAUAUUCAUUUGAUUUUUAUGCGUGUAUGUUGCCAUUGUAAGCAGAGAUAUGGGAUUUGUUUUCUUUUUCAUAACAGAACCAGUCUUUGGUGCCAAUGCCUCGCUAUAAUCUUUUGGUCUGACUAGGUUAUAUCUACGACAAGCCAUUUCAUAAUGUGACUUCAGGCCAUAUUACCAUUUGGAGUGCAAUAAAUCUUCUCAUCUUAGCAACAAUCACAUAAUCUUCUAUUAGUUUUCCUCCGGAUUCAGCCCGUAAAUAAUAGCCUUACUUUGUGAAGAGAUACAAUGCAGUGAAGUUUUAUACCAACUUUUGUUUGGCGCAUGCUUUUGCACUGCUUUAUCUUGUUUUCAGCGUAAUUCUUUUGCAAUUACUCUAAAGAAUUUAAAACCUUUCCCUUCUUUCUAGGUGCUUGUAGUCCAAGAACAUAGUGGAAGGUUCCAAGGUACGGGUGUAUGGAAACUCCCCACAGGAGUUGUGAAUGAGGUGAGUAUGUUUAAGAUAUCAAGUGCUACAUAAGAAGUACCAAUAUGUAAUGCAAUGGUUUGACUGUGACUAUCCCCGUAGGGUGAGGAUAUAUGUCAUGCGGUUGUCAGGGAAGUAAAGGAAGAGACCGGAGUAAGUGAAGAGUUUUAUGUUGUGUAGAAAAGUUAAUUAUCUGAGGCAUUUCACUUGAGAAUUCCAACUAAAGCCUUAUUCUUUUUCGUUCUACAGGUAGACACUAAAUUUGUCGAAGUCCUCUGUUUCAGGUAAAGAAAAUCCUCUAUUUCAGAUUGUGGUGCACUAAUAUGUUUUGGUCUUAAUUUAGAUAUCUGUGUUUAGCCUUCUGAUGUUCAAAUUUGCUUUCGCUUUCUCACAUUCUAUCUCUUAUUUUCAAUCACACAGACAAAGCCACAAAUCAUUCUUCACAAAGUCAGAUUUGUUCUUCCUUUGCGUGCUUCGGCCAGAAUCAUCUGCUAUCAAUAAACAGAAUGUAGAGAUCGAGGCAGCCCAGGUAAAUAGGACACUUGCAUAUCUUCUUGAUUUUAGUGGAAGUACGAGGAGUUUUUACUAAUUAAAUCUUUGCUCGGGCUAUCUGUACAACACUGGGCUGCGUGCUUUAAUCUUGCAUUCUUGCUCAGUUGUGCCAAACAAUGAAUCUAAUUAAAUUUAAUGUAAUAAUAUCUCAAGCACAUCAACGACGAGCGACCUCACUGGAUAUCUGUUAGGAUGUAGCCAUGUGGUAGCGGUGUUAAAAGAUGAUCAUUCAUUAGUUCUUUCUUUGGCCAAAUCUAUGAACUGAGCUGGAUGUAUAUUAUUUUGAUUCUAGUGGAUGCCAAUUGAGGAGUACGCGGCACAACAUUUCGUUAUUAACAACAAGCAAUUCAAUUUCAUGGCGAAGAUAUGCUUGGCGAAGGCUGAUCAUGGCUACCCUGGUUUCAGUGCUUGGGAAACAACUACUGGGAGCGGCAAAACGACUUACAUCUACUGUAAUAACCCUGAAAUUGUGGAGAACUUUGCAAGUUCGAUGUAAUUACCGCCUGGGUUGUGAUGCGGAAUUCUUUCCUUAGACCCAGGCCCACUGGACCGUGUUGAUCCCCACCACUGAUUUUGUGAACCUCACGUGAGCCUACAUGUAGGUCCCUGGGACUAGGGCAAGAAUUUUUGCUUCUGGUGUUAUGGAUGCACUGAUUAAAUUGAAAAAUACAGCUUCAUUUUGUGUCGUUUUGUAAUAGCAUAUGUCAAAUUCUGUUUACAUGGGCUAGUUUCAAUUGAUGGUUUCUAGAUGCAGAAUCAUUUCUAAUAUCGUGAUUUCUAAAGGUUUAAAUGUAACCUGUGUAAAUGAUAUUUUAUGUGGCCAUGUAUAUGAAAUUGUCCCUGGAAGUUUUAAUUCAUUAUAGUUGUGAUUUAGCAUUCUAAUGUAUGAACAACUACUUCACUUUUAUCGUAUAGCCAUGCUUAGAAUUGGCACUUCCCUUUCUAUCUGGUGUGGUGUUUAGGAAGGGCAUCAGUGAGCAAAAUAAUCUUACAGGUUAGUUUCCUUUAAAAUUACUAUACAUUGACCAUGCUCCAUUGAAGAAUAAAGCUGCAAGGAGUGAUGGAAAUGGAUAAGACCUUCCUCAGAGGCAACUACCUGUUGUAAUACUUGAGAAAGGGACUCAUGUCUUUCGUCACUCUGAGUACGCUAUAUGGCCACUCACGAACACACAGCAAAAUGCUGAUGACUACAUAAUACAAGCACGCACACCAUCUGUUUAAAUAUGUGUGGAACAGCAAUGACAAAUAAGAAAAGAAAAACUAGUUCGACAGUACACCAACCAUUUUCUUCGUUUUGUUUCUUCCCCCACUUUUUGCACCAGAUGACCGUGUCUUGCUUUUGUUAAUUGUUCUGGUUAUUGCCAAAUCCCAUCCUCAUUGUAUUUUCUUCCUCGCAACUUGAUACCUUAUCACUUUUCAUGGAUAAAUUAAGUUGGAUCGGGAGACGAAGUGCAAUGUGUGUGCGAACAUCAGAACCGGCAUUCAUACUUUGGAGUUUAAAGUGCUAAAACAAGUGUGAUGAGGCCUGGCUCUGUCUCUGUCUGGCUUAAGUGCAUGCAAACUACUGAUAAGUGCAUGAAAAUUAGCUCUGUCAUGAGUAAGGCCCGACUGUGCGUCUGCGUCAAACUUCAUUCAAAAGCAGAAAGACCAAAAAAACAAGUGUGACGACACAACACUUCCUUUGUGACCGAUCAAAUUCUAACUCAUGUCUGGCAAUGUUAAUUUACACUAUGAGCAAUCCAUGCUCUUUUAAUGAGAAAUCUGCAAUAUUUGUCUCCAUCCAAUGAUUUUCUUCUCUCAGCAAAUGAAAGUGCCGCAAGAUCAUUUUCUGAUGUAACAUGCUAAUUAUUUUGUUCUUCUCAGCAAUCGUUACCAAUGUGUUAAACAGAAUUAACCAGUUCUUUAUUGAAAUGUUCAUAAUCUAUUGAAAUGAUGGUUGUCAAAUUGUUAUCAAGAUUAAGCUGGAGUUUGAUACUUAUGAAGAUCUGUUACAUGUUCAACAUGACCAUAAGAAAUCCAAUCAUUGAGUGAAACAGACCCAAUGACGCCAGCAAGGUCUCUUAGUAAAAAAGAUAAUUGUUCUUUCUGUUUGGUGAUUCAAUGUUAUGUCAUUUGAACUUGUUUUCACCCCCAAAAUGUUGAUUUUGAACUUGAACAUAGCAAGAAAGAACUGCCCCAUGGCUAAUGGUUAGGUUGAAUCGGACUUUAAUGUUCUAAUAACUAUUUUGAUGUUUGAGAAAUCCUUAUCAUCGAUAAGAUGCGAUAAAUGAUGGAGAAGACCCUCUCUUGUAGGCACACCCUGCCUUAGAGUCCACGUCUCAUGUUUGGGACAAAAUUGAAUCACGGAAUGAGAUUUCUCAACGAAUGGGAUUCUGAGAAAAUUUGAUUCUGAGAAAAUUUCUAAAUAAAAUUUGCCAAGUUUCGGCAGGAAUUGACGCUGUUCUUGUAUAUCUCUCUUCAAUUAUUUUCCAAUGGAUGAUCUCAUGCUGAUUCCAGAUGAAGUCGAAUGCAAGCACCUCCUCACCGCAUGAUCAAUCAGCCCUUUCUCCCUUCUUCUACCACCAAAUAAUAAAAUAUUAUCUCCGUUAUAUUGAGUCUUUGGAAGCUAAGAAAAUACUAAGCUUUCUACAAUAAAAUGGAGUUUCUGUCAUCAAAAUGACGUAAAGUGGGUCCUGUUCUAAAGUUUAUUUGCCCUUUCUAUUAUUUUCCGUUACCCUGCAACUUUAAUUUAAGGGAAAGUCAACCCUCCAGAUCAAAAUGCUGAUUCAAACGCGAAAAUCCUGUUAAACUUGCUCGAAAGGUACUUAAUAAAUAUUUUGCCAGGAUUUCCUUUGACUUGGUUUGUACUUAGCUGCUCAUUAUUUUUCAUGGUUGCCUUCCAGGAAGGACCAUUAUCUGAAGCUUCGUAGGUCAUAUUGGAUGACAUAUUUGUUUCACAAACACCCGUUUCUUAUUGUUGCUCUUUGUUGGGGAGAACUCGGAUACAACAAUUCACUACGGCCAAACACAAUCCAGGAUUAAUUUCUCCCCCGAAGCUAAAUCAACUUAAAAUAUCUUAACCCCCAGCAACAACCAGCAAUGUAUAGUAUCACAAAAUGCAAAUAUAACGCCGAAAUGAUAAGUAGACAAAGCAAAUAACGACAGAUUUAACGUGGAAAACCCGAUGCGGGAAAAAUCACGGACCGCCCAAAAACAUCCACUAAUCACCAAGAAUAGCAGGAUACACAAAGUAUUCUACUCUAGUCACACACUAGAGUCUCAACAUCAACAUUACAAUCAUCUUCUUCUCACAACAUAGGUAGAUAAACAAGUUUGGAGCAAGAAAAUCUUAACCGCAACUGGAGAAUUUGGAGACGGUUCUCGACGAACAAAAACCAUCAACUCGUAGCCCUCGGUCUCACGAACAACAUACUGAAAUUUGAGCCGAUUCCGACAUUAUUUGGCAUUCGAAUCAAAGCCGCAAAGUUGCGGCCCUCUUCCUUCUUCUUCCUUCCUUGUGCAGUUUUUGUUUUCUUUUUCUCUCUCCUCUCUUCACUUUUUUUCGAUGAACACCCCACGUACGACAACUUCCACUUCUUUUUGUUCUUUUCUUUUCUUUUUCUUUUUUCUUUUAAUGCUGGCUGGGCCCACAUGAAGGUGGACCCAGCCAACACUCUUAUAGUCUUUAUUGACUGUUUCUCUCUGUCACAAAACAAACUUAUCGUACUCCCCCAGAAAAACAUCUUGCUCAUGAAAUCUCCCAGUUCAUGGCUGUAAUUGUAACACUCCAAAACCAUCAAGAAUAGGGAUGACACCGCUGUCCUUUCAUCUGAAAGACAGUUUCAAACCCAAAAAAAUCCAAUUCUCAAAAGUCCUCUUGUUAAUAUCGUUUCGCAUUACUUAUUGCUAGACAUGGUUGUUGCCAGACUGACUAGCGUUGUUGUGGAUUCAACGUUGUCAUUCCCGCUCGUGAUCUCGGCCGUCUUCACUCUUGUCCAGUACCUUCAAAACGUAGCUGGUUUUGUUCUCCUUUUGCAGGUUACCGAAAGUCAAUCUAACGCUCGGGAGCUUUGUAGUCUGGCUUUCGCCGAGUCGGUGAGUUUCUAAGCAUAAACAAAAUUCCGCGAUUUCGACGAACGUGUCCAGCAUCUCAAUUGCGCCGGUUCAUCCUUAGCCAUGAGCCCAAGAGUUGGAUUUUGUCCCAUUAUCGCAACCUCCCGCCCAAGGUCGAGAAUACCAAAGUCAAAGAAACCAAUGGCCUCGUCAUCCGAAGUAGAGAACUCCAAAAGUAAAAGACAACAACAAGGGAGGCGGAAAUUGGAGAUUUCGGUCGCAUUGAGCAACGUGACAUCUGUAAAUCAAGACACUUCCGUCGCCGCUCUCCAUCACCUGGUUUCGUCCGCAAGCCGUGGUCCGAUCCGAUUCUCAGAAAAAUCAAUUUAGAUAACGUAUUAUCCAAUUUGAUUUCGAAAAUAUUAAGUUGCAUAAUUUGAAUAUGUUGCGAUCUCAAUUAGGUAUCUUGAAGAUAUGUCAUAUCCAAAAAGAUUUUUCGAAAAUCCAUGAAUUAGAAUAUUAUCCUAAUCUCACAACAUGCAUAUAAUUAUUAAUCCGAUUUCAUGCUCGAAAUAUGAAAAUCGUCUAUCCGAUUUCACACUCAAGAUAUGAUUUGGGAUUUUGUGAAAAUUUAGUAAAUCUAAUCUCAUGCCCGAGAUAUGGUUCGUUAAUUUACUUCCAAAAUUAAACGGACAUGGAUGAUAUCUUGCAUGAUUUGUUCCCAUGUUGUUAUUGAUUUGAAAUAAUUUUGCUCCCAAAAAAAGAAAAACCCAAAAAUAUAUAUUUGAGUGGAAUUUGAUUCUUGUUAAAAUAUUACUUGUUUUAUUUAUGCUAGAUUGCAUGUUUAGAUUAGGUAAUUUCUUUAUUCCGAAUUUUUAAAAUAAAAAAAUACCAAAACAUUGCUUUAGGAUGUUAGAUUUCAUUUUCCUUAAUUAAAAUUGCAUGUUUAAUUAUUGGGUAAUUUUAAUUUCGAAAUUUAAUCAAAAAUAAAAGAAAUGCACAUGUCAUGUAGAAUUAGAUCAUUUCUUGCACGUCAUUUAGUCAUUGCAUGAUUAGGUUCAUUUAAAAGUGUGACAUAUUAGGAUAGUUUCAUUUAAUAUUUUACCCAUCAUUAGAUUAUGUCAUUUAAUUAAUGUCGCGUGACAUAUAAUUUACAUAUUAGGUUUAUUUAAUUUUAUGUUGCACAUCACGUUAGCAUAAAUAUAUUUUUCAAUAGAUUAGAUUUUAUUAAAUAAGAGAAAAUCCUAAAAAAGAUUGAGUAACUGCAUGUUGAUUAGAAAUCAUAUCUAGAAUUUGUUGAUGUGAAUUUUGAGCUUACAAAGCAUAUGCUUUCAUUGUUAUGAGGUAAAUUUCACAAUUUUUCAUUAUUUUAUUGGGAAUUAAAUUGGUGGAUUGCACACCCAUAUAAUCACAUCAGGUAAUAAAAUCAUUUCAAGUUGCCUGAUCAAUAUUUUUCAUGAAAAAAAUGGUACUUAAAGGAUAUUAGAGAAAUCUAUGAGUAAAAUAAUUUUUUUUAACUUGAACUUAAGUUGCGAAUUGGUAUGAGCUUAGAAGAGCCCGAGUUAGGUUUAGACUUAGUAAUUCAUUAACCAAACUCUAGGUGGUACACCCUAGGUUAGGUCGCAACAUUUACAAUACCAAAACAUAGCAAAUGUCCGAUCCAAUUUUUACGCAACAUAUAUGCUUAUUUAUAUCUUAUAAUCUUAUCAUUUUGAAAAUGUGAGUUUACAAAUUUUUAGAAAAGAUAGCAUCACUCACCUGAAUAUAUCCCAAACCAAACAACAAAUCCCAAACCAAACAACAAAGCUUACUCGAAUUAACGAACUUGCAUUUAUUAUAUAAGUGAGAGAUAUCAUUAAAACCAAGUAAAAUGCUAUCUCAAUUAACGAUUCGACAAAACUAUACUUAUACGUGAUAAAAUGACACUUACGCACUAAUAAAUUGCAUAUCCAAAGCGAUUAUUUAAGCCAUUCGCAACGCGAAACUUGAUCAUGUCAUAACUUUUUUUACUGAAUCCCGUUUUAAAUGUUUGUACAAAAUCUCGUUUCAAACGUUCUUAUAGUUAAUAGAGAGCUCUCUCAAGAUAUUACAAGGACUCUAACUUGAUCGUUCCAAAAUUAAGCCAAAAAUGGACAAAAUAUGGUAUCAAAGUUGUUGAAUGUGCAUUGUUCAUUAGGCGAGGAAAACUUUGAAUUUUGUUUUGGGCAAAUCACAAACUCAAAUCAAGAUCGGUCAUAUUUUAUAACUUCACAACACCCUAAACUAUCAUUUAUAUAUAUAUAUAUNNNNNNNNNNNNNNNNNNNNNNNNNNNNNNNNNNNNNNNNNNNNNNNNNNNNNNNNNNNNNNNNNNNNNNNNNNNNNNNNNNNNNNNNNNNNNNNNNNNNAAAAGAAAGAGAAGAAAAGAAAGAAGAGAGAAAAUUUAUUUAUCCAAAUUGUUCCAGAAACAAGAAACACGUUUUUUUUUUGUUUCUUGUCUCUGUUUCAAUUUUGUUCACGGGAAUAAAAAAACAUAUUUGGAACAAAAACGCAAACAAAUGCGUUUCUGUUCUUUUUUUCCCGGGAACAAAAAAAUAGGAUUUUUGUUCAUAAACAAAAAAAAAGAGUACAAACAUACAGACCUUGACACUCCCUCUUUUUUGGGGUUUUUUAUUAUUAGAAUUUGUUUAGUACAAAAACCAAAAAACCCAAACUAUUUACAUUUAGCCUAAACUUUCUUUGUAACAUAAAAAAUCUCAAAUUAUGCUAACUAUAAUACUUUUACCUUUAUGAUAUCAAAAAUUGCAAAACUCUUAUUGUGUGAUAUAUUUACACUUCAUCAAAGUUUAAUUAAAUGAUUUUUCAGUCAAAAUGAAGUCAUUUAUUUUGCUUAAGCCACGUCCAUGAAAAUAGAUUUUUAGUGGCACUCAUUGACCGAAUAUUAAUGUAAGGUAAAUAUGUCAAAAUUUUGGAAUUUUAAGUUUGAGGAUGUUUUUUCUUUAAAAAAAAAAGAAGGAAAAUUUAUUGCUCUCGAGUGAUGUAUUAGAAGGGAAACGGGUCCUUCGAAUGUUCAAGGGAAGGGAAUGGAGUAGUUGAGUGUGCAAUUGGAUAAAAGAAAAUUUCAGAGGCGUGUGAUUGAAUAAAUUAAAGAAGCUCAACAACUACGGACUGCUUAAUUCUUUCAUUUAUUAAUUUUCGUAUGACCAUUAGCCAAGACGGUCGACAAAUUGCCGUCCUAAAGCAGUUAUCCCCGCCCUUGAUUUUGACAUAAAUUUUCAUUUACCGUGACUCAUUCUCAAAAGGUAGAUUUCCAUGAAAGGUACCAAAAACCAAAAGAGGAAGGCGACGGACACUUUCGAUGAUCUUCCCAUUGCCUCUUCUCUAGUCGUUUUCCAAUCUCAAAGUCUUGUCAUUUCCAUUUUCCUAGGAUUCUCAGUCAAUUAAAUGACUCUGAUAUUAUAAAACUUGAAUCUUUGGUCAAUCAUAAUAAACUAUUGAAACGUGGAAGGUCCUUAGUAUUACAAAAUUAAUAGACAUAAGAAGCAAGCGGAAGAAACAUUAUGAAAACAUUGUUAGUAACGCUUCAAUAAUAAGGGGGAAUUAUCAAAAAAAGUCCUAAAUUUAUUGUAAUUGUAUCGGUUUAGUUCUAAACUUAAUUUUUUUUUUUCAUCAAUUGAGUUAUGAACCUUUUACAAUUAUUCUCGAUCAGUCCAUCCCGGCAAAAAUUAUCCGGCCAGCGCUGAUGUGGCAGCUGGUCGGCACUGGCAAACUUUUUUUUUAAUAAUAUAUUUAUUUUUUGAAAUAUUUNNNNNNNNNNNNNNNNNNNNNNNNNNNNNNNNNNNNNNNNNNNNNNNNNNNNNNNNNNNNNNNNNNNNNNNNNNNNNNNNNNNNNNNNNNNNNNNNNNNNUCCUCUUUUUCCCCCCUUCUCCCUCUUCCUUCUUCCUCCCUCCUCCCUCCUCCUUCCUUUGGCUCUGGUGACUAGCCAGUCACUGGACUGAGGCGAUUUGGCGAGCUCGCGCCCAAUGACGGUGGGGCGAGCCCCCACCGGAUUUGGCAAGGGCUCGCCUCGCGGUCAUCGAGUGACGCGAGCUCUCGCUAGAUUCGGCGAGGAGGGCAAUGCGGUGAGCCCUCGCCGGAUCCGGCGAGGGCUCACCCCGCAGUCGUUGGACGUGAGCUCACCAAUGAGCAAGGUUUCACCCUGUGGGGGACGGGGGCGUGAGCUUGCCGACUGGGGGAGGCGAGCCCUCGCUAGACCCAGUGACGGUGAGGCCCCCCUCGCCGGAUCUGGUGAGGGCUCGCUUUGCCAGUGGCUGGGUGAGCUUGUCCUCACCCAGCGACGGUGAGGCGAGCUAACCCAGCCGCCUCAGUCCGGCGACUGGCCAUCCCUCCCCUCUGGUCGGUCGCCAGAACCAAAUGAAGAAGGAGGGAGGAGGAGGAAGGAGGGAGAGAGAGAAGCAAUUUUUUUAAAAAUAAAAUAAAAAAAUACUUCAAAAAAAUAAAAGAUUAUUAAAAAAAGGUCACCGGUCGGCCAAUUUUGGCUGUAUGGAUUGAUCGGGAAUAAUUGUAAAAGGUUUAGAACUCAAUUGAUCAAAAAAAUAAGUUUAGGAUUGAAUUUACAUAAUUAUAAUAUGUUUAUGACUUUUUUGGUAAUUUUGUUAUAAUAAGAUGAUGGUCCACAAAAAUAGGAGCUUGCCACUUUUGAAGCAAAUGAAAUCAUUGCUAACAUGAUUUUGUUAAUAAGGGUUCUCAUCAGUUGUCUUUUCUCAUGUCAUUCACAAUUAAUGUUUUGAAAAUCGUACAAAUUUUGUAUUAAGUAUGCUUAAUCUCAUUAAUAAUAUCCUUACAAAAUAAAAAGAGUUUAGGUAUAUUGAGGGCGUGUUCGAUAACCACAUUUAGUAUUACAAUUUAUAAGGAAAGAGUUGCUUAGUUAAAUUCAAAUGAAAAUAUUUAGUGAGAAUUAGGGUAGUACCAAUUAUAUUGCUAAAACUUAUUAAUAAUGUUUGGUUCAUGAUCGAUGAGGAACUAAAAAUCUCCCUAACUAUUCAUAGUGAAACCACCAUUUAAUUCCACUUUCAACACUAGAGUUGUGGACAUAUUUAGUGCUUAAAUAUGUAGCAGCCAUUUUACAAUUUUAUUGAAAUGAGCCUUUGGAGGCUAAGAUCGCUAUUAUGCAACGAGAUAAAUUUUAGUUGGAUAUUAAAUGUGAUCCACUUAUUUUAUUUUUAUUUUUAUUUUUUUUUGGGUCCGUGAUCCACUUGUUCAUACGUUCAGUAAUAAUUUGCCUUUUCAUUGAUUUAAUAGUUGACGGCAAACACUAAUGAAUAGUAAUUUGCCUUAAAUUAUUUUCAUCAUAUAUUUCUAUAUUAAAGAAUAAUACAUGCCUUAUAAGAUGAUUAAGAUAAAGAUAAUAUCAAUUAUAAUCUAUUAAAGAUAAGCACAAUUUAUAUAGGAAAAAUGACACAAAUAAUCCUUGAACUUUAAUUAAUAUGUAAUGUGGUUUUUGAACUUUAAAUUCAUUCAAUAUGAUUCCCAAACUUUCAAUUUGUUUAAUUUGUUUAAUAUAAUUUUUGGACUUCUUGUACAUAUGCAGUUUAGUCCCUAAACUAUAUAAAAAAAUUCAAUGUAGUCCCCACAUAUAAAUUAAUGANNNNNNNNNNNNNNNNNNNNNNNNNNNNNNNNNNNNNNNNNNNNNNNNNNNNNNNNNNNNNNNNNNNNNNNNNNNNNNNNNNNNNNNNNNNNNNNNNNNNNNNNNNNNNNNNNNNNNNNNNNNNNNNNNNNNNNNNNNNNNNNNNNNNNNNNNNNNNNNNNNNNNNNNNNNNNNNNNNNNNNNNNNNNNNNNNNNNNNNNNNNNNNNNNNNNNNNNNNNNNNNNNNNNNNNNNNNNNNNNNNNNNNNNNNNNNNNNNNNNNNNNNNNNNNNNNNNNNNNNNNNNNNNNNNNNNNNNNNNNNNNNNNNNNNNNNNNNNNNNNNNNNNNNNNNNNNNNNNNNNNNNNNNNNNNNNNNNNNNNNNNNNNNNNNNNNNNNNNNNNNNNNNNNNNNNNNNNNNNNNNNNNNNNNNNNNNNNNNNNNNNNNNNNNNNNNNNNNNNNNNNNNNNNNNNNNNNNNNNNNNNNNNNNNNNNNNNNNNNNNNNNNNNNNNNNNNNNNNNNNNNNNNNNNNNNNNNNNNNNNNNNNGCAGCAAAUCUUUCGAAGGCCCAGAUCACACGCCAUUCCUUCUCCCCAGAUUGUGCAACUCCGCAGACCUAGAAGAAGCCUUUAUAUACUUUACCGUUUCUGCCUCUUGUCCUUCACUUCGCUUUAGCUGUUGGAGCGAUACUAAUUCACUGAAGAGCAACUUAAUCUCCCAUCCGUUUGGUGUUCUUGCCGAGGCUGAAAAGCGUCAAGCUUAUCGAUCCGCUCCUCCUCGCGCGCCAGGGCUCCGUGCCGAGACCGGUCGUCCGAGGCCUCUUUCUUGGUGCUUUGACUCCUUGCGAGUGAAAGGGCAUUAGAGGGUACGCGUGGAUCGAUGCAUUUGGUUUUCUCUCUCCACUUCUCAUUGUUUAAUCCAUCGUCUGUGGCGACGGCAAAGCCUACCCAAUUGCCCACCUUUCGUAUUUCUUUAUUUGUUUGAUUCAUGGACAUUCGCAAUUUAGUUGGUUUUUGUGUUUGGUCCUUUUUUUGUCAGAAAAUUUUUAUUUUUCUUCGUGGGUGUGGCUGUCUUGAUGCUCUCUCGAGCUUUUGUAUUAAAAUAUAUUUGGAGUUUGAGUACAAUGUGAAAUUCCGAAUAUUCCAAAUUAGAUAUGUUGUGGACGUUCGAAAUCGAGCAAAGAAGAUCUGAAGAUCAACUUCUCAAAAUUUGAAUCUGCGUUGGAGAGUUUGGUCACUGAAAUAGAAAAGUCCAACUUUCACUUGGAUUUGGAUUUUGUUUAAAAUAUAUAGUGAAUAUAUUUUGGUUGUCGGCACAAGAAUAAGGAGAAUAAUGGUUUUACUUAUAUAUAUAUAUAGACUUGUGGCCGUAGAUGGUAGAAAUUUAAUCAUGAAAAAUUGGUCUUGAAGCACCGAGUGUUUGGGAGGAAUUUUCUUUGUCGUUCUUGUUUGUGAAUUACAUCCAAGAAAAUUUAAUGUUGAAGCAAUUAAAUCUUGUGGUAAGAUUUGCGUGUAAUUCCUUCGUGAGAUUGAGAGAUUAUUUCUUUAGGAAUUUCGGGCUAAACACCGCGUGGGUUAUUGGGUGUAAUUGAGGUUUGGGAAACACCGAGAGAGUAUUCGAGAGAUUCGAGUGUGUAAUCUUCUUGUAUCGCUUGAUCUAUAGUGAAAUUCGCUGCUGCCCUCCCCGUAAACGUAAGUCUUUACGACUGAAUCAUGUAAAUCCGGUGUCCAAUUUAUUUUAUUCUUUUGUCUAUAUUAUUGUUUGAUCGCUCGCCUUUUCGUAACAUCCAUUGGAUGAGUGAGCUGUUCACAUCAUCACCCAAGAGAGUGUUUGCGAGAGAGUUAGACUUAGUAAACAGAGACUAUUGAAGUCUUCCUCCUCCUUUUUUUUUUUUUUCAUAUGGUUCUGUUCUGGGUUAUUUUCUAUUUGGGUUUAUUACUUUACUUUUGACCUAGACCAGUUGUUUCCGAUAAAAAUCAGUGGAUGAAUGAUCGCUUCAUUUGUCCAGGUUUAGCUCCUAGGGUGCCGUUUCCCAUCAGGUACAAGUCUAUCAGCGCAUCAUCAGCUUUGAGGCAAGUCAUGACUGAACAUAACGAUAGUGGGAUCGAGCAGAUUCAACUGCUCGAUGGGUGUGAGGAUUCAUAUGGAGGAGUCAGGGUGGAGAUCAAGGAGGAUAUGGAUGCUGAUGUCAUGAAAGCUGAUGUCUUUGCGUCUUUGCUCCGGGCUUCAGUAUCAAGCUGGAAACAACAGGUGCCGCACUUGUAUUUCAUCGGUCUUGUCAGUUUGUUUUUUUUGGAUUUGUAACAAUAUCAAUCUGGUCUUCUGUAUUUCUUCUUACCGGGUAUAUUUUGGUUGCAGGGGAAGAAGGGAGUGUGGAUCAAAUUGCCCAUUAAAUGUUCACAUCUUGUUGACAUUAUAGUGAAGGUACAUAUAUGUGUUUUUUCUUGGCCAAGAUUUAGUAUUGGCCCCUCUUGUUAAAUCGCUUUCUAACAGGAAGUUUGAUAGAUUUAGGUAUGAAAUACACGGUCCAUUGAAAUAUUGUCUGGUAAUUUGGCAGGAAGGAUUUAGGUAUCACCAUGCUGAAUCAGAUUACUUGAUGCUUGUCCGCUGGCUUCCUGAGACCCAGGAUACUAUUCCUGCUAAUGCUUCACAUAGGGUGGGCGUUGGUGCUUUCGUCUUGAAUGAUAAAAGAGAGGUGACUUUCUGCCUUGCCAUUGUCCUGUUUCUUGCACUUGCCCUUUUAAGACUCUAAUAGGAAGAUGCAAAGAGAUGGAAAUGUAACAUUUGAUUUGCUCAUUCAGUUGUUCUUAGAAGUUCAGAGUUGGACUCUAGCACCAGACACUUCUCUCUGCAGUAGUAUGUAAGACUAGAUAUUUGCAGUGUGUAAAAUCAGCCUGCUCGAUAGGCAUAGAAUCCUUUAGAACGAUAGGUAGGAUCACUGUAACUUUGCCUGGGAUCACAGUAACUUCGCCUGGGAAGAAAACCUCUGCAUUCAAUGUUCACUGGAUUUAUACGUGUGUAUGUUGCCAUUGUGGAUAAGCAGAGUUAUUGGAUUUGUUUUCUUUUUCCUUAAUAGAACCAGUCUUUGGUGCCAAUGCCUUGCUAUAAUCUUUUGGUUUGACUAGGUUAUAUCUAUGACAAGCUAUUUAGUAAAGGACUUCAGGCAAUAUUAGCAUUUGUAUUGCAAUAAAUCUUCUCAUCUUAGCAACAAUCACAUAAUCUUCCAUCGGUUUUCCUCUUUUAAAGGAUUCAGCCUGUAAAUAACAGCCUUACUUUGUGAAGAGAUACAAUGCAGUGAAGUUUUAUACCAACUUUUGUUUGGUGCACGCUUUUGCUCUGCUUUAUCUUGUUUUCAGCGUGAUUCUUAUGCCACCAGAUGCUCAACACUUCAAAGAUUCUAAAAACUUUUCCCUCUUUUCUAGGUGCUUGUAGUCCAAGAGCAUAGUGGAAGGUUCCAAGGUACGGGUGUAUGGAAACUCCCCACUGGAGUUGUGAACGAGGUGAGUGUGCUUAAGAUAUCAAGUGCCACAUUAGAAGUAUCGAUAUGUAAUGCAAUGGUUUGACUGUGAAUCUAUCCCCGUAGGGUGAGGAUAUAUGUGAUGCAGUUGUCAGGGAAGUAAAGGAAGAGACCGGAGUAAGUGAAGAGUUUUAUGUUGUGUAGAAAAGUUAAUUAUCUGAGGCAUUUCACUUGAGAAUUCCAACUAAAGCCGUAUUCUUUUACGAUCUACAGGUAGACACUAAAUUUGUUGAAGUCCUUUGUUUCAGGUAAAUAAAAUCCUCUAUUUCAGAUUGUUAUGCAUUAAUAUGUUUUGGUCUUUAUUUAGAUAUCUGUGUUUAGCCUUCUGAUGUCCAAAUUUGCUUUCGCUUUCUCACAUUCUAUCUCUUAUGUUCGAUCACAGACAGAGCCACAAAUCAUUCUUCACAAAGUCGGAUUUGUUCUUCCUUUGCGUGCUUCAGCCAGAAUCAUCUGCUAUUGAUAAACAGAACGUAGAGAUUGAGGCAGCCCAGGUAAAUUGCACACUUGCAUAUAUUGUUGAUUUUGGUGGAAGUAUGAGGACUUUUUAAUAAUUAAAUCAUUGCUUGGGCUGUCUUGUACAACACUGGGCUGCGUGCUUCAAUCUUGCAUUCUUGCCCAUUUGUGCUGAACAAUGAAUCUAGUAAAAUUCAAUGUAUAAUUUCUCAAGCACAUCGACGACGAGUGAUCUCGCUGGAUACCUGUUAGGAUAUAGCUAUGUAGUAGCCGUGUUAAAAGAUGAUCAUUCAUUAGUUCUUUCUUUGGCCAAAUCUAUGAACUGAACUGGAUUUGUUUUAUCUUGAUUAUAGUGGAUGCCAAUUGAGGAGUAUGCAGCACAACCUUUUGUUGUUGGAAACAAGCAAUUCAAUUUCAUGGCGAAUAUAUGCUUGGUGAAGGCUGAUCAUGGCUACCCUGGUUUCAGUGCUCGGGCCACAACUACUAGGGGUGGAAAAAGGAAUUACAUCUAUUGCAAUAAGCCUGAAAUUGUGGAGAACUUUGCAAGUUUGAUGUAAUUACUAAAAAAUAUGAAUUUUUUAAUUCUUAAUUUUUAAUUUCUUUUAACGCUUAAUUUUUUUUAUAUAUAUUUUUUCCUUCUUCCUCUUAUUUAUAGCAAGUUUUAGGAUUUGAUUGUACUUUUUGAAAGUUCUAAGUUUCGAUUGUACUUUCAUAAUAAGUUUAAGAAUUCCUAGUGCACUUAUCCAUUUAUAAAACUAUAGAGCAUAGCAUCUUUUUGAUAGAAGAAUAAUGAAGUUAAACCUAUACUACAUUUGAAGAAAAUGGAGGAUUAGGUAUCAGAGAUUUGCUUUCCCUUUAAUAAGGCAAUAUUGAGAAAACAAGCUUGGAGUCUAAUUCAAAACCCAUCAUCACUCUUGUGCCGGCUAUUGAAAUGAAUUUACUUUCCUAGUGUAGACUUUUGGCAUGCAGAAAAAGGAGUAUGCCCCUUUUAGGGAUGGUAGAGUUUGCUCGUGGGAAGGGAUUUAAUCUCUCACUUAGUGCAUUGUUCAGUACGUAAUGAAGCUAACAUAACAAUUAGAGAAGACAAAUGGCUGAAAAAGAUGGGUGCUUGGAGGUCCUGCUCCUAGAGGUGAACCACUUGUUUAGACAGGGAGGAGAACUCAUGGAAUUUUUUGCUUCUAGAGGAUAAUUUUCACAUUAAAUUGUCAAUAAAAUCCUAUCUAUUCCAGUGAGGACUCAGAUAGCAAAAGAUCAUAUUGUAUGGACAUGGAUUCAAUCAAGCAAAUAUUCAGUCGAAAGAGGAUAUAAUCACAUAAGAGGGUCAGAUGACAAGCCUAGCUAGAUUCAAGCAUUUUCCUCCUUUCAACUUCCUCAUAGUCUAUGGAGGGAGAUAUGGAACUUGUCUACAACCCCUAAAGUGAAAUUAUGUAUGUGGUCCCUAUGUCAAAACGCUCCACUUAUGAAGGAGAACCUAUUUGGAAGAUGAAUUGUACCCGAUUCGAUAUGCGCAUUGUGCAAUGAAGGCAUCCCUGAGACAAUAGAGUAUUUAUUCUUAUUACCCAUAGACGACCCAGAUCUAUGUAUUAAACUUUCGACAUAAGGUUUGUCGAGAAUUGAAGCAUGGAUAUAAGAAUUAAAAGCAAACUCAGCUCACUCGCCAAGCUUGGAAGUGGUCGUGUUGGUACUUUGGCACAUGUGAAAAGCACGAAAUCACUUGGUCCUCACGAAUAGACCUCUAGCUCCACCAGGAUCGUGGAUUUUGCAUUCGCAAGCUUGAAGAUUUCCAAAAAUUAGGGACUUAACACAGCACCUACAGAACUUUUGGUCUCCACCGCAGCUUUGGGCAUUGAAAAUGAAAAUCGACAGAGCAUACAGUCCUUGAUGGACGAGUGGAACCAUUGCUUGUGUUUGUCGUGAUCACUCGACAAGGCUCGUCGAUGGAUUUGCAAGAAGUGUUUAGGCUUCAUUACCUUUUCGAUGGAGUGUCAUACGUCGCUUUAAACCUACUGUCCUUGUUGCCAAGAAAGAAAAUCUUUCGAUUGAGUCCCAGAAUUUAUGGUCAGUCAAUAUCCAUGGGAAGUUUGUAUACGGAUCACUAAGUGUCAUGGUCUGUUGCUCCACUUCUCAAAUAUCUAGGUUUAGCAUUGCUAUAAAGAGGCAACUCCAUUGCAGACUGGAAAGCCAAAGCCAUAGGAGAAAUUCCCUUCCACUGAUUCGGGUUAUUUCACCUCCCUUAAUUUUUCUUACUUAGAUAAUUUCAUAUUCUUUUUUUCGUCAAUUUUAAAGGAGGCGGUUUUUUUUUUUCCUAAGAGAGUUCGACACGAACAAUCAUUAUAUUAUUCUACAAGGUUUUAUUGGAGAAGCUAACUUUUUCCACACUCAUAUUUUGCAUAUAUUUCCAUUCUAAAUUAUUAAUCAAAUUUUCACUAUUAGCACAUGAUGUACACAUUUUCUUAGAUUAUAUUGCCUUUUUCUUUUGUUUUCAACUUUUCUUUUCUGACACGUACUCGUUCAAUUAUCAACAACCAAUCAUUAAUAUACCCAUUGCCAAGUCAGCUGCCAAUUUCUCCUUAGAAUAGAUCUCAUUCAUCUCAAUCCCAAAUAUCUACAGCCUAGAAAGAAGGUUUGCAUGUCUACUGCUCGACAUCAUAUUUUAAUUCGGGAACAAAGACACAGACAGUUCUUAAUUUUUUUUUUUUCCAAUUUGGGGUAUUGUCGAAUAAAAUAUUCGAUAGCAAGUUGAUCAAUUAAUUCAAUAAGAAAUGGUAAUUAACACUCGAUUUAAUUAAUACCACAAUCGAAUCCACUUUCAUUUUGAUAAUUAGCAUCGACAAUUCUUAAAUUUUUAUUGCAAUUUGGGGUAUUGUCGAAUCCAACAAAAAUAUUCGAUAGCAAGUCGAUUGGUUAAUUCAAUAAGAAAUGGUAAUCAAUACUCAAUUUAAUUAAUACCAUCCAAUCGAAUCCAAUUUUAUUUUGUUUACUUAUUCAAUUUCAAUGAACAUUUAUUUCAGCUUACUUUUUUUAAAAUGAAAUAACAAAUUCGAACAAAUCAAAUAAAAAUAUUUGGGGUUAGAUCGAAUUGUAAAUAGAGUUCUUUUUUCCCAAUUAACAUAUAGAACAAAAUAAGUGCCUAUGAGAUUAAAAUAAUGAAUUGUAAAUAGAGUUCAAGCUCAAAUAUCAUUAUUUAUUGUUUAUAAUAAUAGACAAUUAAGGACUAUUUUCUCUGUGGCCACACUCUCACUCUUUCUCUCCCCCUCUCUCGCUUACCCUCACCUGCAAGAGAUAAGCCCCUUCUAGAGUCCCACAUCGAACAGACAGCAGAGAGCAUAAGAGAGUUUGCUUAUAAAACCCAAGCUUAGCCAUUUAUUUUUUUUCAUUUUCUUGGGCUUGUGGCCUAUACUGAGGUGGAAAGCUUGACCGAGUGGUGUGGGCCUGACCAGUUGCAGUCUACUUCGGUACGGUUCUCAGUUCUGCAAAUAGGGAACCGGUCUUGUAGGUCCGGUUCCCGGUUCUAGGUUGGGAACCGGACCGCCCGGGAACAAUCACCCUAAGGAUAAGCACCAGCAGAGGGAUGGGAAGGGGCCUGCUGUUGCGAAAGAGGCGGCUGGACCGCCCCCCAUGCACCGGGGAUGGGCCCGAAAUCCCCGCAAGGUCACCCGAUCCCACCGACCCCUUUAUCGCAGCCGCAGGACGCGCGCGAGAGAGAGAGAGAUAGCCCGGGCGGCGAGGGAGGCGAAAGCAUCCGAGGAGGGACUUGAUCAUGGGGUUUUUCUUGCGAGGGAUGAUGAGACCAUCUGUUCCGGUUGAGAUCUCGGGUGGAUCUAUCUUGGUGGUUCUCGGGUUGUUUCGUUGCUGUUGCCGGCGUUAGCGGCGGACUUUGAUUUGGCGAGGCGAAGAAGCGACGGUGGGUCUAGGCGGCGGAGGUUGAGCAGGGCAGCAACCCCGAUGGCCAUGGAUCUGCUCGACUCUGAUGUUUAUUUGAGAUUGGUUUGGAUGAUUGUGUUUUACCUUCUCUGCAGCUACCAUAAACAGAUCUGAGAGCGCGCAUCUCUCUCUCCGUCCCUCCCUCUCUCUCUCUCCCCCUCUCCAUACGCGACAAGCAUAAAGAGAAUGCGUUCGGCCAGGCGGCGGACGUGAAGCAGGCGAAGUCACGGCCUUCGUCAGCCUCGCCACUUGCCGGCGAGGACCAUGGCACUCUCCGCAGAUCUAGCGCUGCGGCCUUGCUGAACUCUCUCUCUCUCUAUAUAUAUGCGGUGCAGCGGCGGCGGCGGCGGCGGCGACGGCAGCAGCAACGAUGGGCCUAGACGAUGGCGAGGGUCGUUGGACCGUCAUCGGUAGAUGGACGGCCCUGCCACCGGCCAAGGGACCUCCUCCUUCCCUGGUCAGGUUUAGCCACCGACUCUCCCUCUUUAUUUGGGUUUUUUAUUAUUAUAAUUUUUUUAGGAUAAGAAGACCAGAAAACCCAAACUAUUUUACAUUUACCCUGAAUUUUUUUUUCUAGCAUAAGAAAACUCCAACUAUAUUAACUAUAAUACUUUUAUCCUAAAAUUUAAAACUGUUAUUGUGUGACGCAUUCACGCUCUAUCAAUAUUUAGUUAAAUGAAAGUCAUGUUCUUGAAAAUAGAUUUUUAAUAGUGUUUAUUGACCAAAUAUUGAUGUAGUGUAAAUAUGUCUUACAGUUAAAAAUUUAGAAUUUUAGGUUUAUGGAUACUUUUUUUAUCUUAAAUUUUUAUUGCGCGCCAGUAAUGUAUCAGAAGGGAAACGGCCAAAUGGGUCCUUCGCAUAUUUAAGGGAAGGGAAUGGAGCAGUUGAGGAUGCAAUUGGAUAAAAGAAAAUUUUGUGUGAUUGAAUAAAUUAAAGAAGCUCACCAACUACGGACCACUUAAUUCUUUUAUUUAUUAAUUUUUGCAUGACCAUUACCCAACACUGUUGACCAAUUGCCGUCCUAAAGCAGUUGUCCCCGCCUUUGAAUUUGACAUAAAUUUUCAGUUACAUUGAUUCAUUCUCGAGGGGUAGAUUUCCAUGAAGCUACCAGGAGCAACGGAGGAAGACGACGGACACUUUCGAUGAUCUUCCCAUUGUCCUUUUCCUAGUCAUUUUCCAAUCUCAAAGUCUUGUUAUUUCCAUUUUCCUAGGAUCUAUCAGUCAAUUAUAUAUAUUUUCUUGCAUUCGCAGUCCUCUGUUUUUUAUGCGUUCCGAGAACAUCUGUUGACAAGACUUAUAAACUCGGAUCUUUGGUCUCGGAUCUUUGGUCAAUCACAAUCCGAGAUUGAAACGUGGAAGGUCCUUAGCAUCACAACAUCAACGGAC